UCUUGGCAUCUUCGCACACGCAGGCCACGUGCCGGCACCCCCCGGUGGCCGCUCGCCGCCUCGCCUUUAUAAGCGGCCGGGCGGGCGGAGCUCAGCUCAUCGCACUCAAGCUCACCCUGCAACUUGCUCGCUCUCGUCUCGGCUCUGAUAUUUUCUGCCCUGCCCUCUCGCUGCCCGGCGUCAGCCUUCCUUGGUCGGGAGACGAAGGAGAGAGAUAAAGGAGAAGAUGUCGGACGGCACGGCGACCUGCAUCGACAUCAUCCUCGCCAUCAUCCUGCCGCCGCUCGGGGUCUUCUUCAAGUUCGGCUGCGGGGUCAGUAAAAUCUACUAGCUCUGGUUCAGAGCUCUUGCUGACUCAUUUGCACCCCAGCGUGCUCAAAUACUUGCAUGAUACUGUGCGCUGGUUUAUGACUACUGUGUUCGUGGGGGCUAUAGCUGAUAGAUGGCUCUUGCUCUGCUUGCAGGUUGAGUUCUGGAUCUGCCUCGUCCUCACCUUCUUCGGCUACCUCCCCGGCAUCAUCUACGCCGUCUGGGCCAUCACCAAGUAGAGGGGCCUCUUCGAGGUACUAUUCUACAUGCACCUUCUUCAACAACCUGUUACUGUGAAACUGCUCGUGUAGAGAAAAACAAAACACGCACCUCGCUUCUUGAUGCUUCCAGUGAAUUGUUGCUUUAAUUUCCUUUUGAUUAUGGGCAUGCAGGUGAUGAUGGGGCCGGGCCUCGUGCGUGUGGUGUCCUCGUCGUGCCUGGUGUGAUCUGCAGUCGUUUGAGAUGUAAUUUCUUCUAGUUUCUCUUCCCUUUGGCUGGAUGGUGCGCACCGUGUUCGUCCCUCUCCGCGGGAUACGGGCUGCACCUCCUCCGAUCCAUUGUAUCGCCCAGUUCCUCUGCACAUUUCCGUCCCUGUACUUCGAUUGAUUAAUUAAUUCGUCCGUUCUUUAGUGGAAAUUAAUUCUCUGCUUGUUUGGCUGCUUGAUUGAUUACUUAAUACUGUUUUUCCUUUCUUUUUCAAUAUCUUUUUUGUCUGUUUGCUUGGCACUCUGGGAUUGGGAAUAAAUGAAUAAUCACCCAUGGUUUGGUGAGCUUAGGCCUUGUCUAGUUGCCUGAAUUUAAGUGCCCAAAAUCACUGUUGUAGCACGGUAGCACACUGUAGCGUUUCGUUUGUAUUUGUAAAUUAUUGUCCAAAUAUUCACUAAUUAGGCUCAUAGAUUCGUCUCGCAAAGUACAACAAAACUGUGCAAUUAGUUUUUGAUUUUAUCUACAUUUAAUACUCCAUACAUCUAUCGUAAGUUUGAUGUGAUGGAAAAUCUUCUUUUUUGCAUAUGUCAAAGUUGGGAGUUUGGGGAAAACUAAGCAGCCCUUAGCCUCUUGGGGAAGAAGGGUAGCUAGCUGGCUAGGUGCUCGUUCCAAACGGAACGGGCCUGUCAGAUCAAACGGAUCACGGAAAGGGUAAUAUCUAAUAUAAUGGCGUCCAAGAAAUAAUACCAUGGGCGCUUGUCGCGUUUCUAGCGGGAGGCUAGUCCCCGUCGAGGCUUUUUUUUUUGUUCGUAUAUCGAUUGAUCCUAUGAAAUCAUAUCACUUACCUUUUUAUUUAAAAAAGAAGUGAUUUUUUUUUGCGAAUCAAAGAAAUUAAUAUAUUGGCGAUCCGGUGCUAGCAGGUGACGAGUCAGAGAAUGCCAGCUGACCCCUGGCGGCUGGGCGCGCCUAGUGCCCGAUCCGGACGUGUCAUGUGAUUUGCUCCACCUGUCCGAUCCGGACGAUGUACUCCACCUGUCAAAUGUGAACGGUGAAAAUGAGAGAGAGAGAGAGAGAGAGAGAGAGAGAGAGAGAGAGAGAGAGAGAGACCCGUGUCUCGAUGCUAGUCGUUGUCGAUACUAGCGAUGGGCAGAUACAUUGGCAUCUAGUAGCAGCUUUGGUCGAUUAAAGAAAUGGCUGGUCGUGUCGCUGUACCUGGCUGAGCGGGAGGCGAGAGCCCAGCGGCGACGGGUGUCUCUGCAGGUGCAGCGCUGCACACACAGAGCAGCAGCAGCAGCUGCAUCCUGGGGGAAACGGACGUGCGGAUGACCGCGCGUGCCAUGAAUUGGGUUUCGCUUUCCCGUGUGAGCGGACUAGCAGACCAGCUCACGGCCGAAAGCAACCGCCCAUCUAACAAUAGCAGCCUCCGCCCCGCCCCGCCCCGGCCGGGCGCCAGACGCGAGCCGAGCCAAGUCAUGACGCACUGGCACAGACGUUGGCGCAGCGGAUCGGAUCGCCAGACCCCAGAAACGCCGCGCCAUCCUCGUGGUUUUCUGGUGAGUUGCGCGGGACCAGUGGCGCGCGCAAGGAGCCAAGGAGGGCUAGGCGCCACCGUGAGCAGGGCGCCGGGCCCGGGCCCUGUCGCACCAAGCGGGCAGGGGAAUCCAAUCUCCUUCCCCGCGCGCGGCGCCCCCACCGCCGCUCACGCGCCGGCCGAACCAGCAACGAAUCAUGCGCGCAACGGCAAGCUUCUUGGUGCGCCGCAUGUGCCCGCUCCGCAUGGUAACAGAACAGGAACAGCCUCCGCCGUCCGUACUCGUAGGCAGCCGCAACCGACAGGCAAGCGAAAGACGGAAAGGAGAAGAGAGAGGCGUCCUGAAACUUGUUGCCGGACGAGACGAGCGCCAACUAGUGCGUGGGCCUGAUCGCGUCUCCAUGGGCCGGCCGGGGGCACUGGGCUGUCCCCCCGCACACACAACAGGCCCAAUAGCUUAGAUUUUCAAACCUCUUCCCAGCGGCCCGCUUUCCACGAUGGGUUUGCACAAGGGGAUGGGAUUCGAUUCGACCAAAAAUGGUUUUGAAAUGAGAGAAUGGGGAAUCCCACUAUGCUUAGCUUGCAGUUGCAGUGUACCACCACCAGAUAAAACUGAGAUAAAACCGUUGACAAUAUCUAUCUUCGAGCAAAACUGUUCGAAGGGUCUUUCGGCACUUUUUUUUUUGCACAAAGCUUAAUCUGAGGACAGCCACGCAGGACAUCAAUUCUGAGCCCUGCAUAAUAGAUCAAAGUCAGUAUUUUGUCGAUGUCCCAGGAGCUAACUAUUUCAAAAUGCAUUCUUAAAUAUUACUAAAUCGGUAACAAUUUCAGCGCCCACCUACGAUACCCCAUAAUCUCAUUGGGCACUUCAAAUAGCACACCUCCCAGUUGAGCUAUAUUCACACGCAGGCAAUCAACUCCAGCUAGCUAAUAGUUCGAUCGAGCUAGCUUAUUAAUCUCGCAAGGCAGAUGUAAAUUUAGGAUUACCACAUAAUCACAUGUGGAAAAAAAUAUAGCAAUAAGUUCUAAACAUCCAAAGUCCACCAUGAAUAAAGCAUGCACGAUACACAAGUCAUAGCUGGUGGGUGAGCAGUUUACUUGAAUUCUCCCCUUCAGAAAUUAGAACAGCCUUGACCAGAAUAUAAAUUUAUAUACCACAGGCACUGCAACUUCUACAGUGGUACUGUAGUUGUUACAAGUCCCACCUCAGAAAUCACCUGCGUUGAAUAACUGACAGGUUUGGUAAGGGGCUUAAGGCUAUCAGCACCGCGUGAGCGGUAUACCCAUCUGCAAAAUCAUGGGGCCCACACGCUGUGCAGAUUUCCAUCCACGGAAUGCUGCCGUGAGGAGACCUCUAUACCCAUCUGCAAAUCCACGUGCUGAGCAACGAGUGGGCGUGGGGUCCCGUGCGCGGCGCUGGCAGCAGCUGGUGUGGGAGAGAGAUUGGGCUGGAGAGAGAGGAUAGCGUAGGAACACGCAGACGCUGGGUUUGCAGUAUCCCUGUAGGGAACGGUGACAUACAGAUUCAUAUAGAGACCUGCGCUGCAGCUACUCAACCUCCACAUUUCACGUACAGGCCCGCUUACCGCUCAACAGUGCGGAUAGCCUAACAUAAUUUGAGUGCGCACCAAAACAUGACAACACCACAAUCUGUUUACAUGAUAAUAGCACAUUGAUAUGUCAGAUCCUAUCCCUUGGUUAUAAUGCAAUGCAUAUGAAGAGUUGAUGCCUUCCAGUCACGAGGUAGUCACCUAAACCCUCUUUUGAAUUCCCCAGCAGGAACACCGAGGGUAGGGUAAACCCUAAACUUCGACAAGGUUUCUUGCAUAUAGUACCGAUCUCGACGUUCGUGACGCCUGCAAAGAGAUGCAAAAAGUCAGAUGCAUUUGUACCAAAAAUACGAGUUAUAUAAAAUUCUUUUCCCACAUGAAACUGCAGUGCAUAACCUAGUGAUGCAAUUUUACGUAUCUAGGUAUCUUACAUAGUGACCCUAGUAAAGUAAACCACUGCAGUUGUAAUAUUCAUCUGGGAGUUCCAAUUUUACAUGCUAACUAGAGUAGAAGCAAGCUAGUAUUGUUUAAACGCAAGCAAUGUUACCACACUAAAGAGAGAAUUAAAAUAGCAGCCAUCUUUUGUUCCAAUUUUACAUGCUAACUUGUCCUCAGAUUAAGCUUUGUGCCAAAAGGUGCCGAAAGACCCUUCGAACAGUUUUGCCCGAAGAUAGAUAUUGUCAGCAGUUUUACCUCUACUGCGUUUUGUUUUUGUUCGUCUUCACGCUGGGAUCCUCAUCCCGAGCUAUGCUGUUACAAAUCCCGAGCAUCCUUCCUGCUCGUUUGUGCUACAAAUGUAAAUUCUCCCGGCACAUGUUCUAGGGAAGUGAUCUGAAUACGGUUGCACUGACAUGUAUCCAAAAAAAUCUUUGCCACUGACGUUUAGCGUUGCCUAGAGGAAUUUUUAUGGAAUUGCCUGAGUAUGUAAUGUUGAUGCAAGUUGUUUUUCUUUUUGAAACUUAUUUUGAUGCAAGUUGUGGCAUGUGUUAAAUUUCAUCUUAGCGUUUUCCAUUGUGGAAGGUGAUCAGGCUUGAAUAUGGUUUCUUCUCCUGUUAACAGAAUCGCUACGGGUUAAGACAUCAUAAUAACUAGUAUUGGCCAAUCUUACCAUUGUACUGCUAUCUCUCAAGCUCGUAAUGCAGGACAGAUACCAGAUAAUCAGAACAAAUGGCAAGAUGAUUUUGGGGAUUAUGGGGUGGUUUUAUAGGUCCAACAGUUUACAUAAUAUUUUCCCCUUCAUAGACAGAUUAAUAGACUUCAUAUGUUCUUAUGUGGUUCUACAGUCCAGGUGCACAAUUGAGACUAUUUGAACGCAAAAUUUUGGUUCCACUCUUUUUUUAGCAAAGAGGUCCUCUUUCUCUAGCAUUGUGAUCACUGAUCAGGCGGCAGGAGAUACUACUUGGGAGAAAAGAAAGGUAGUUGUCAGAAAAGUAGAUGCUCCCUCGAAAAGCUGAAUGGAAUCGGCCAAAAAAUAAAUGCAGCAACCUUUUUUGUUUGUUGUUUGGGUUCCAAAAAACUGACUGAAAUCAUCAAAUAUUGCAGUCAAAAUUUCCCGUACCACAAAAUACUGUGAUUCAUUAUGUGUCAAAUUUCUAUUGGAUGGGAAAAUUAUUCAAGCCGCAAAGAAAAUUAGCCGAAUGUGUAGGUUCUACCAUUACGCUUUAUUCUGUACUUGUUGCUACUUGCUAGUAUAUGACGUCCGUUUUUUUUUUGGCCGUAUUAACAUUUGCUCGAACAGAGCACGCCCCCUGUUUCCAUUAAAAACCAGAUUCCAGCUAAACUAUCGUAUCUUCAUGUCCUAGGUUCACUGUAACAACAAGCUAAGUAGAGUGGGAUUCCCCAUUCUCUCAGUUCAAAACCAUUUUUGGUCGAAUCGAAUCCCAUCCCCUUGUGCAAACCCAUCGUGGAAAGCGGGCCGCUGGGAGGAGGUUUGAAAAUCUAGGCUAUUGGGCCUGUUGUGUGUGCGGGAGGACAGCCCAGUGCCCCCGGCCGGCCCACGGAGACGCGAUCAGGCCCACGCAUUAGUUGGCGCUCGUCUCGUCCUGCAAUAAGUUUCAGGACGCCUCUCUCUUCUCCUUUCCGUCUUUCGCUUGCCUGUCGGUUGCGGCUGCCUACGAGUACGGACGGCGGAGGCUGUUCCUGUUCUGUUACCAUGCGGAGCGGGCACAUGCGGCGCACCAAGAAGCUUGCCGUUGCGCGCAUGGUUCGUUGCUGGUUCGGCCGGCGCGUGAUCGGCGGUGGGGGCGCCGCGCGCGGGGAAGGGGUUCGCACAACGAAGCGUGAGUUACAAGCACCCGGAGCAAAAAUCUAUUUACACGCACAAGAGAUUAUCGACUCGGGAUCGGAUCUCUGCUAAUAAAACGAUCGGCACCUCGGCGCAGCAACAGGUGCAUACGCAUGCUCACAUACAUUAUAUAAGAGCUUGAUGAAACCUUAGCUGACUGACUUCUGACUUCAGAAGAGAACAAGAGAUGGCAGCCGAUGUUAUGGCAACAAAGCAGCUCAGGUUGGCACGGCAGGCUCCCCUACUACAAUUCACACAAUUAGAUGUGCACAGACGAUACUACAAUCUGACUCAACCAUACCAUAUGGCACGAGGAACAUAGAAUCAAAUUGGCUGUUGCCCAGAAACAACUGCAGUUCAAGCAACGGGUAAUGUUGCACUACAACAAGGCCUUCCAAGGAUUCAGGUACAGGAGAAGAUGGGCAACCCCAAUGAUCUGCACUGCAGGCAUCCCUUACGUUUAGGACCUAACUAAAAAAACAAACCAUCCCAAGUGCGGAGAGUAGUAUCUCCCUGGCAUAUGAUUUUUCUACACCAGUGAAUUUGCAUGUAAAGCAAUAUAGGGUAGUGAUCCAAAUUCUCAUAUGGUUUAAAGCACAAGCACAUUAGAAGCAAACUCCUAGUGGGGUGCAAAUGUCAAAAUGCAACAAGGUAUCACAGUUACUUGAGCUCUUUAACACAGCAGAGUAUCACAGUUUGGCAAGCUCGAAAGUUAUCAACCCAAUGGACAGCUAAGCUGUGAAGAGAUCAAAACCUCACUGCAUUGUAUGAUAACAAAAACAACAAUACAGCCACCGUUUUUCAAGAGUUCCAAUGAAAACAUCAGCACCGCCCCCUGCAACUUCAAAAAAGUAAACAACCAGCCACGGUAGAGUAUAGUUGUACCUACUGCGCCUCCUCUGCAUCUCGACUCUUCUUCUUUUUCUUCUCCUUUUUCUUCUCGCUCUUCUCAGAUUCCGCGCUGUCUCGGGUUUGAGCAAUCUCUGGAUCCGUGACAUCGCUUCCUUCCUUGCUCUUCUUCUUCUUCUUUUUCUUUUCGCUUCCAUCCUUCUCGUCAGCCACAUCAACCUUCUCCUCCUUCAGUUCCGCCGAUCCUGAUUCAGCCUUAUCUUUCUUCUUCUUCUUCUUCUUCUCACUCUUUUCCCCUUCCACUACCUCAGCAGCUUCCUCAACCUUGAUCUUCUUCACAGGAAUGGAAGCAUCACCAUCAUCAUUCUCCUCAUCCUUCUUCCUCUUCUUCUCCUUGACCUCUUCACCGCCGACAGCAUCCUGUUCCACCUUUGCCUUCUCUGGCUCAGGAGCAGCUGCAAUGCUAGCAAUCGAUACAUCACCGCCAGUGGGAAGCACCACAUUCCGGAGCCACUCAGCUGGGGUCUUCUCAUUUGGCUUCCCAUGCUUAUCAAGGAGGCCCUCAGCAAUCAGCUUUUUCUUCUUGAGGGCCACUGGGCCAAGCCCCCACUUCCUCGGGUAUGUGUCUCUGUCCAUCACAACCCUCUUGAUCUUUGCGACCGCACCAUGGUCACAAGUCGCCAUGACAGCAGUGGUCAUCUCAGCAAUACCUAUAGCAAUGGCCUCCCCCUUUGUUGUCAUCAGAACAACCUCCUCUCCAGUCUCAAUAUCAUUCUCAAACCGAAGCAACCCAGGGAUCAUGAGCUUAGCACCAUAGCAGAUAGCAUUCACAGCAGAGUCCUUCACAACAAGCCUCUUGUAGCUAGUAAGCAGUACCUCAAGCGGCAUGACGAUGCGCCUCAGGUAGGACUCGUCCUUGUGGUUGUCGAGCGACCACAUCGCGUCCAUCACAUCGUGCAUGGUCACCAUGUUGUCCUGCUCCCCCAGGAUCCCCGACCGGACACGGCGCAGCUCCUGCAUAUGGGCGCCGACGCCAAGGAGCAGGCCAAGGUGCACACAGAGAGUCCGGACAUAGGUACCUGCCUCACAGGAGAUCCAGAACACCGCAAGGUGGCGCUCGGGGUCGUGCUCCAGCAGCUUGCUCUCGUAGAUGGUCCGCACCCUGAGCUGGCGCUUCACCGCGGAGAUGAGCGGCGGGCGCUGGAAGACGGCGCCCGUGAGCGCCUCGAGCGCGCGCGCCACGCGGGCCGUGUCAGGCACGGCGGCGUGGAAGCGCGCGACGCAGACGUACUCCUUCCCGGCGCCCUGCUGCGACUUGACGAGGCGCGUGGCGCGGUCGACGCAGACGAUGAGGUUGCCUGUGACCUUGGGAUCGAGCGUGCCGCUGUGGCCGGUCUUCUCGGCGCGGAGGAGGCGCUUGAUCCAGGCCACCACCUCGUGGGAGGACGGGUUGGAUGGCUUGUCGAGGUUGAUGACGCCGUACCGGAGGUACUCGGCGAGGGGACGCUUGAGCGGCGAGUGGCCGGAGGGGAGAGGGGUGUAGUGGCCGGUGCGGACGUUGAGGCGGUCGUAGUUCUUGAGGAGGAGCGGCCAUGUGGAGGCGUCGAGGGACGGAACCAGGGACUGGGGCUUGAUUAGGUAGCCAUCGGUCUUCUCCUCGGCCUCGGCGAGCGAUGGCGGAUCGAUGGCGGCAGCGGCGUCCUUCGACUUGUGCUUCUUCUUCUUGGAUUUGGCUUGCUCGGAAGCGGGGGACGCGACGGCCGGCGGCGUGGACGACAUGGCGGCGGGGCGGGGGAUUGGGGGACUUGGGGAAUUGGGGGUACCUUCUAGUUGUCUCGGCGAGGGAGGGGGAACGAGGAAGGAGGGUUUAGGGUUUAGUGAGUGGACAAAUGGGCCGAUCGAGGCUCAUGGUGAUGGGCUUUUAGAAGGGCCAGGCCAGAUUAGAUGUUAAGGAGAAACGAAAGCUGAUUUGGCCCAAUGAUCUGGGUUGGGUAGUAAAAGUCAAAACUUUUUUUUAUCCAGGACCGUAUUAGCAGUGAUUAUUACUAAAACACAUAACAUUUUGCAUUCAUUUUUUUACAAAACUUAUUAUUAUUUACAAUGAAGGCCAAAACUAAGACAGAGACCAUAACAUGCUAGGCUCGAGACUUGAGAGUGAUUGUCAUGUAAGGUGCAACUCGUAAAGAAAGGCCUCACUCUCACCCCUGAAAAGCUUGUGGAAAGUUAGACAUAUGAAUUGCAAGAUGCCAAUUAGUCAGAGGUCAAAUGCUCAUAACUCAUAAGUGUAGCAAAAGAUGUCUGGCUAUACAUUUUCAUAUUUUCAGAGUUCAAACACACAUGUUUGACAUAUGCGUGAACUUGUGCCCUCUCAAUCUCUAUUGAUGAAUUGCGUUGACUUAUUGUUCUAUCAUCCACAUACACGGUGGGCGGCUGUACUUGAUGCUUGAUGGCGUAAUCCUUAACUAAGCUGGCGGCUGUACUUGAUGCUUGAUGGUGUAAUCCUUAACUAAGCUGUCAAGAACUACUCACUUGGCUACACAAUUAACAUCGUUGGCGGAAAACAAAAAAAAAAGAAACUGUGAAUUGGCUUCCACUCUAAAUCUCUAAUCACAUUGCAAAUUUAACCCUCGAAUACAAUUUUGUUAUUAUUAGGCCUCGUGCCAUCGUGUGUGUGAAGGGUCGAGAAUGGAGAGAGUCAGAAAAGGGUUGACCUUUUGGAACUUCACAAGGGCAAACAUGCAAUAACAAAAAUAUAGAGGGAUGGAGACGUAACAGCUCCGAGCUGAACUGUGAUGAGAGAUUCGCGACGACCUCCCAAAUGGGGAAACCCCGAGCUAAUCCAAACCCCCGCCGAUCUGAAUUCCCCAAAUCCCGCAACCGGAGCCCUAAUCCCUUCCAAAUCCCAUCUCCGAUCCAAUGCCUCCCACCGGCGACGACCCGUCGGCCGCCGCCGGCAUCUCCUUCCCCGACGCGGACGGCGGCGGCGGCGGCGAUUCUGAAGACGGCGACUUCGCCGACGCUCACCUCCUCGACCCUACCGAUCCGAGCCUCCACAACCCCACCACCUCCUCCGCCACCGGCCUGCCACACGCGGUCCCGGCGGGCGGGAGCGGCGGCGGCCCGGUCACCUCCGGCAACGGCGGGGAGCGGCGGCCCCUGUUCCAGCGGCUCUGGACCGAGGAGGACGAGAUCGUGAUCCUCCGCGGCUUCGCCGAGUUCACCGCCGCGCGCGGCACGGCGUUCGCGUCGCACCAGUACGACACCGACCCCUUCUACGAGGACAUGCGCCGCCGCCUGCAGCUCGAUUUCUCCAAGAGCCAGCUCGUCGAGAAGCUCCGCCGCCUCAAGCGCAAGUACCGCAAUUGCGUCUCCCGGCUCCGCGAGUCCGGCGCCACCUUCUCCUUCCGCUCGCCGCACGAGCAGGCCAUCUUUGAGAUCGCGCGCAACAUCUGGCGCCCCACAAAUAAACACGGCCGCGAUCCCUCGGCUGACUCUGACGAUGAAGACGCCGCCGCGAAUACCAGCCCCAAUGGGGAAGUCAAGUCGCCGUCGGGGCGACAGCGACGCCGCAGGCGCGCGACGGAUUUCGCGGCAGCCUCUGGCACUGCCCCUGCCACCAGCAUGGUGCAGCCCCCUCAGCCAGUGCAAUUGCCUGUGUCAGUGCCUGUCAAGAUGGAAGACUCCCUCCCAGCACUGCCCCAGACACAAAUGCCUGUGACAGUGACCAUGGAUGGCUCAGAGCCUCUCAGGUUGCCAGUCAUGUCACCUCAAUCAGGUGUUUCGGAUGCUGAGAAGAGUUGCCUGACUCCACUACUUAAGGAGAUGAUACGUGCAGUGAUAAAUGUCGGAACUAACCCCUUCGGCACAAAACUGCCGGAGCCGCCACUUGGGUUGCCCAUGGAAGGGGAGAAAUGGAGGAAGCAACGGAUUUUGGAGUUGGAGGUGUACUUGAAGAGGAUCGAGCUGCUGCAGAAUCAGGCAAAGGCAACACUGGAGGAGCUCAAGUCCUCAACCCCUGGGACUUGAUCCAUGAUAAGAUGAGAGCUCUUUCGUUUUAGGAUUCUUGUUAUGAUUCUUAGUGUAGAUGCUUAGGUGUUUUGCAUAUUUUUACGUCCAUAAAAGAAUAUUGUUAACUGGGUUGGGGCUUGGAACUAGUUUCUUUAUGGUUCUAAUUGUUCAUGUGAUAUUGGCUGCCAUUUCUGGUUUUCUCUGAUAGGUUCCUUAUGCUUUGUUUGCUUUGAUAGUGGUAUGCUUUGAGUGGACAGUAUAGUACCCUAUAGAAAGAAGAACAUUUGCAAUUAAUUUAUUAAGAUUACAGAUUAUUCUUAUUUUGUCUUGGCUUCUUAUUCUGUUUUAUGUGUGUUAUCAUGAAGUUAUAUGAUUAUAUUGAAGAGAUUAAACUGUUCCGUGGUAUUGAUGAUGGAUAGUCAUGUUUGGUAAGGUCAUGGAGAUUUUGUAGAGUAAAUGAGCACGAUUUUAUGGAUCUGCUUGGGAAGGCAAUAGGGAUAUACCAAGUGGUGAAAGCUUGACUUGUCUUGAAUUGUUGGCCAUGGCUAUGUUUCUUUCUUUCUUUUUUGUAAAGAUGCAGAAUUGCCAUGUUAUCUCUGCAUAAAAUAAAUGGUUAAUGGUCUGUCCCAUCUGAUUGCAUCUGUACUUACACUGCGAGAAUAUGGCAAAGCUGUAGGAGUAGUGUUAUGCUUGUUACUCAACAUUAUGCGCAGCCAUUCUAGAGAGCGGAGGUCGUUUUUGUGCAUCAAAUUUGGAGACAGAGCACCACACUUAACAGAAACUUGUAUACUAUAUAUCUGCACACAACAGAAUGUCAGAAUAUGACAGUAUGGCAGAUUAUUUUUAUGAUGUUGGUAGCCUGUGCAGGUGUAUGGUGGGCUUUACACAAGGGAGCCCUAAUCACCAGCUCACUGAUGUCCGUCGCAGCCACUACGCUUGUUGUUGUCAGAUCCUCCUGGUUUGUUCUAUAAGCCUUCUGGUACCUGUGUUCCCUCUCCUUGGCUCUGCUCUGCCUCAAGAGACAUGGGAAGGGAGAGGGGUAAGAAAAAAGAGGAAAGUAAAACAAGGGCCCAUAUACAUGCGCACUGCAUUUGCUGCUUAACUGUGGAACUUGGUUGCUUUACUCAGAUGGCGUCAUUGUGUGGAUUGAUUGCUUGGAAGUUGGAAAGAUUGAACAAUGAACGGAUGCUGUUUUAGUUUCGGUGUUGGUACCUUGUUCACCUUCGAACUGCAGUUCGGACGAGGGAGUUUAUGUAUCAUAUUGGCCUUAGCUUCUAUGUGCCCCCUCACUAAUUUAUUAUUGUGAAGUACCAGAACUGGACCUCUUCUUCUUCUGGCGAUCCCAAGUCCUUCAAUUUGUUUGAUAUGGUUUGCUCACUUCUGGGACUGACUGGUUUCUUCACGGCAGUUGUAAUUCUCCCAUUGCUCUUGGUUUAUACGGAAGACAUCAAGAUGAGAUGCAACACUUCGUCUUAUGAUCAAGGUGUGAACUUUGUCUGUAGUUACGUGUCUUAUGAUCAAGGUGUGAACUUUGGCUGUAGUUACGUUCUCUGUAGUUGCAUGCCUGGAAGUUCAUAUGUACCGUGCGAGACCCCUAAUGUAUAUAUUUUUUCCGUAGCGGGCGAACGGGAAUCCCGUUGCCCUAAGCAAUUAUCGUGUAUCGGUUUCACUAUUAUCGUGUACCGGUUUCUUGUGAGCGGUUGAGAAGGGUUAUAAAAAUGACACGCUCAAUUAACGUGGUUUUCUCAGUUGUGCAAGCGACCACUCAUAUUAUGCGCAUGGCUGCAUUUGCUCCUGAGAUUUGAUGUUUGACUUUUGGUAGGGUAUCGAUGUUUCAUGUAUGUUUGUGAAGAAGAGGUUCCUCGUAGAUGUGCCUGUCAUUGAGUCACUGAUUCGUGGGUCCGGUCCUAUAUGUUAGUCACCUAACUCGUGUUUGUUAGGUGCUGAGUUGAUGUUGCACCCGGCAUCAGCUUGCAUCGGUGACUUGGUGUGCCUUUGUGUUAAUGGAAUUUCACAGUUCCUGUGAAAAACCUCAUUCAUAUUUGUUUUUUUAAAGAUUCAUAUUCAUAUUUGCAGUGCUGGAAUUUUCUAGGACCGAAAACAUGGCCAGCUCAAUGCACCAUCGGCUCUGCUGCAAUUUUUUUUGAAAAAGACUCUGCUGCAAUUUCUCCUCCUCCAAGCCAAACGGGAAGCCAAGACUCUGCUGCAAUUUCGCCGCGUCUAUCACCUGACGAGCCCUUACAAUACUCUCCCGUUAGGAUUUUGGAGGUCUGAUAUGUCAUGCCACGUUAGGAUUUUGGCAAAUAUGCAAGGACUCGUAAUUUGUUAGAGCAUUUCUAAAACUAUCAUUUGAAGAGUGAUUGUCCGUAAGGAUGGUAAAAAAUUAAAGGUCAGUUUGAUAAGGUUCCAACUCCUCCUAAUAAGAGGAGAACCUGAAGCCUCUGAAGCCUCAUCUCCUCUUGGUCUCCCAUCAUCCAGAAAUUUGCAAAUUCAAAUUUGAGUUUCGCGCCGGAGUGACAUUAUGAAACGGUGACUGCACGCUAGAAUGCCAUUUCAGCUUUUCUAAUUCAUUUAGUUUCUUUUCUCCCCUCUUUAGCCACAGGAAAAGGCUGAAUUGCCCCCAGCCUGCCUUCUUUUCCCUCACGCAAGCAAAGCUUCACGGCGGCGGGCCUUGGUGGCACACUGGCACUCGAGCUUGAUAGGGAGGGAGUUCGAACCGCGGCGAGGCAAAAUAGAAGGCACGGAUGCUUGAUUCCAUGGCAACAAACUUGAUUCAGGCAAACAUUAGGUAAUGCAAAGGUCGAUUUGUGCUCCAUUGGGUCUCGAUUUGCUAGUUUGGAGAUUGAUUUGAGCUGCUAUGGUGUUUGGUUCAACAGCAUGACAUCCUCAUAUUGCUCCACGGGGCCUUCUUGUUUUCACAAAAAGCACCCAGUCAUCAUUAGCGAGCGCGAGGUCAAGUCUGUGAGAUGGGCAGUCUUGCGGCAAAUCUAGCUGCCGGUCGUCACAAGCUGCAGGCUGACCUCCAUCACUGGCCGUCGCAGGCCCCGCCAUUGGGGGACGCCGCCGCCGACUUUGCCUGCGCGAUGGCUCCUGGCCCAGCGAAUCAAGCCGGAGUUCGCUCCUCUUCGGCAGUUGGGCCCGUGGCCCCGUGCUUCAUCGUCGGCGCGCUGCAGCACGCCGCUGCGGAGCGGUGGGACGCUGGCUGCUGACGAUUCAGGCGGGGCUAGGCGGGGCCGAGGCCCCGUAUAGCCCCGCGUUGGCCGGCGGUGGCCCAGCUCCGCUCGUUCGUCGUGAGAGAUAGAACAAGGCUGGAGGAACGGGAGAAGGAAGAAAGAUGAAGAUAAGGUUCGAUCCAGCGGCAUAAUGGUCUGUUCACGAGCCAUGAAGUAAAGGAAAUCUUUAAAUCAAUUAAAAGUAAAGAUGAUGAAAAGGCAUUUUGGCGAAUGGCCACAGUUUUUAUAAGGUCAUCCGCAACAGUCCUAGCUAAUUGCUAGCUUGGAGCCAUCCAACUCAGCACUAAAUAGCUAACUACAUCUAUAUAGUGCUAGCUAUUUGUUAUUUUUAGUACUUUCAUGCACAGAGAAAGAACGGAUGUGGUGGCGAUUUGGCGCAUCGUCGCGCGUGCGAGCUGAGCGACGAGCAAGUCGCCGGCUUGAAUAUUUUGCAUCUUCUCUUUCCUCCACAUAGGAUAUAUGCUGAGCUGUACACUCAAAUAGCUAGCUGACUCAGCACCAUUGCGGACGCCCUAAUGCAAUCUAGCGAACCCAAAUUUAUGGCACUCGCGAAGUCCACGUCAGAGGACCCCUCAUCCAUCUUUUUUUAAAAUACGACCCGACAGAGAUUGCUAUUAAUUAAUAGUGAAGAGAGUUACUAAACUAGGCUGAAAAAAGAAAAGCAAAUUGUACGAUAACUAUACAGUUUUGCUUAAAAAGGUGAUCACUUCUUAAUUUGACAGAUAUCGCUCGAGACCUUACACCCGUUAAAAUCUAACAUCGUGCUUCCUCCUUGAUUUUGCGUAGUAGUUAGUCCAAGCUUUUAAACUUUCGCUGGAAAACUCUUUCGUUGCGUUCCUUCCAAAGCUCCCAUGACACAAGAAUGAUGAGGGAUUUCAAACCCUUCGGGGACGCGCCAGGCAUAGAUCCUAAUUGUAUCCACCGUUCACCGACGAAUAACAAGGUAGACUAAUCCCGCCUCGACGGAUGACAAGGUAGACCAAUCCUGCCUGGGUGGUAUGUGUGUGGUCAUCCACUCAAAGAUUUUAUUCCAAAGUCCAACCGUGUAGCGGCAGUUUGUUAGUAGGUGCAGCAACGUUUCAUCAUGCGUAUGGUAAAAUAUACAUAUUUUUUUAGUUAGAUCAUCCUGUUAUGAUUAGUCGAUCCACUGUCUAUAAACGAUUUUGGAAGGCUAGCCGUGAUAAGAAUUUACACUUUGGGCGCCCACUUCUUACAUAUGAGUCGCUCCAUCUCGGAUGGUGCUGACCCAUCAUCCCAUCGACCCAUCCCAUCUCAAAUCAUCCCAUCUCAAAAAGAAGGCUCGCAUCAUAACGCCCGCCAAAAAUGGCGGGCCUCGGCGGCGGAGGCUGGGGCGGCUACUACGACGAUGACGACUGGGACCUCAGCGCGGAGCAGCUGGACCAGAUCGAGCGGGACGCCAUCCGCCAGCUCGCCGAGCGGAAGGCCUCCUCCUCCGCGGCCUCCACCGCCCCCGUCCCCGCCCCCGCACUCGGGGCCGUCUCGCCGCUCCCCUCCCGCGCCACCGCGCCGGCGGCGGCCGCCUCGUCGCCUCUCGGGGGUAACCACCCCGCUGCCAGGGCCUCUUUGGAGGCCCGCUUCGGCAAGGUUAGGGCUUCUCUGCUCCGUUGCUGUUUUGUGCGGUUACUUGUUGGCGCAUUGGGGAUUGGCUCGGUGCUCGGAUUAGUGGAUCCCUGUGGCAAGGCACAUCGAGGACUUGUUGUUCGGUCAAUCCCCUCUACAAGUGGAUUGGAGGGGAUUUCGACUUGUAGGAGUUUCUUUGCUCCGAAGAUGUUAAUCCAUUCGGAAAAUGGUUCUCUUAUCUCUUUUCUUUUAAGCUCUUAGUACUUUGUAGCGACUUUCCCUCAAAAAAUAGAGUUAAUGAAGCAGUUCGUUACUGUGAUACGAGUUUCGAGUUUCGAUCAAUGCAUAUGUGGUGGUAUACUUGAGAGCUUUCUCAUCAAGUCAUUCCGUGGAACUGGGUUCUUUUGGCGACUCGAUUUUCAGUUUGAAGAAAUGGCGAUUUUUUCUGUGUUUUCUAAGUCCAUAGUUUCGUGCGCAACAUUGAUGCGACUGGUCUGUAACUAGUUAUGUUCAAUUUACUGUUGGGAUGUUUGUGGUUCAAGUACCACCAGGGUAGGUGAUAAUAAGCUCAAUCUUGAUGUAGGAUUAUUUCCAAUUUGUUGUCUUCAUCUUGAGGUCCAGUUAAAAAUAUCUUUUCUUUAACAGUCUUUUUAUAUGUCCUGCAUUUUAGCAUGCAAGAUUGAAAAGCAAACGUUAAUCGAUAGCCUUUUCUCUUGUCAAAAUAAAAUCGAUGGUUCUGGCUGGAUUAUCGAUACCUUUGGUGUUGAGAGGAUCACUGUUUUAGCAAUAGUUAACCUGUUAGACAUAGAUGUUUUUUACUGCUGCAGCUCUUAGAUUCUUUUAUAUUCCUAGCUUACAAUAAACGUGACCCCUAUACUUUUCAAUUUCACUUUUACUCCUUCAACUUAUUUCUCAGGUAGAAGCACUUUCUCCUAUGAGAAAUGCAGGUAAACAUCAUUACUCGUGCUUUCAAUUUGUCCUAUAACUAAUUCUUAAGUUUAUUUAUCCUUUUCUUUUCAUUUGCCAUUCAAGUGAAUAAUAGCCAGGGCAGUGCACCUAAGGUAUCUGUACAUCUUUUCCUCCAUUCUAGCGGUGUGAUUGCAGCAAAGUUCCCAUACCACCAGGUACAUUCCCCACAAUAGAUCUUGAAUAGGUUGUCAGUGUCACUGAGGUGCUGUUCGGAUCAUUAGUUCAUGGGCUAAACUUUAGCCCCUAAACUUUAGUCCUGCUGGGCUGUUUGGAUCCAUGGGCUAAACUUUAGACUUUCAUCAAACAAUGACUGAUUUGCCUCUCAUUUAAUGACUCCAUGCACAUGCGAGUGGGGUUAUGGGGUGUCCAGCGCCCGCCCCGAGGGACUUUAGCCCAGUUUAGGGCCUCUUUGGGAGCAAAAAACUUUAGCCCAGAUUUUAGCUAUUUGCUCACUUUAGCCCACCUGUUUGGAUCCCCAUAGCAAAAAAAUGGGCUAAAAGUGCAGGACUAAAGUUUAGCCAUGGGAUCCAAACAGGGCCUGAAUUGUAUCAAAAUAUAAUUUGCUUGCUUCUGCUUAUUUUUCAGUUACUUGUGGAUGCAUGUCGCAAGAUCCCGAAAGCCAGCUGGAAUGCGAAAGAAAGGUUUUCUUUACUUUUCACACACUCCUUUAAUUUCCAUGUUCAUUAGAUAUUCUCUUAGACAUGGAAAAACUUGAUGCCUGCUGUUAACUUCACUGUUUAUUCUGAUCGUUUUUUACUUAAUCCAAAACAAUAGGAUAUGGAUGUUCCCUCCCUCAUCUUUAUCAAUAGCAGAGGAGGUUCUUGAUUCAGUGCAUGGAUUAGCUGUAGAGGUAACAGUUAUCAUCUGUAAUCCCGAAAGCUAUGAUGCUGUUUGUUGCAAGAACGUCUUUUUGAUUAUUUUAUUUUAUUGCCUUCUUGCUUAGUUGGUUAACUUAUAUGCUAUUCCUACUCAAGUACUCAACUUCUGCAUAAUUUGCAUGGUUAGCCAUUAAACAUAAUCAAAUUCAAUGUAGCACAUAAAAAAGUAUGAGCAUGAAGUUAGGACAAAGCUGUUAUGGCCGCAAGUCCAUUUUGUGUAGUUCUGUGUGUUUUUUAAUUAUGUGAGGAUGUUUGCAAAGCUUGUAUUUUCAGCUUGCAAAAACUCAAUAGACACAAGUUUUAAGCUUCAUUAUGCCAUCCUCCAUAUCAUAGGAAGCUUUUCAAGACUCCUUUUUCUCGAACGUGCAGGAGAACUGCAUUUUUUAAUACUUCAAACAUGACCUAUUUUGAAAUUUCUGUCAUGUGCAGAGUAAUUUUGACUUCUGAGCAUAUAUUCAUUCUGAUCAUAUAGUGUACUUCCCUAGCAGGUUCGCAAAUUGGAUCCUCUAGUUCAGCGUGCUUUAGUGGCUGCUUUAGCCUCCAAAGAUCUUCGAGGUAUCAAAAAGUUUCAUAUUGUGCUUAUAAAAUUUACAUUCACCCGAUGCAUAGAUACUGUAUACUUGUAAAUUUUGCACCCACUUGUCACCAAGGUGUUGUCAGAUAUAAACUUUCUUUCUUUCUUUAGUAUCCGCUUGAAAUAUAUAAUGAAAAUAUGAAAAUCCAAAUAUUUCAUUGUGCAAUGCAGAAUGCGAAUCAAAAUGAUCUGUUAUUAAUAUUUUCUUUUGAAUUUUGGACUUGACAUUUUGCAUGCUGCUAACCUCAUUUUUCUUGGAGAAGGUUUCUAUGACAGGAUUCCCCCUGAAGUUGAGUCAAAGCUUAUGCCAUUUCAGCGUGAAGGCAUCAGGUGUGGUAAUUCAACAUUCUGAAACUCUAUUUUAUGCAUAAUGGUGAAAAAAUCAAUUCCAAUAUUGGCAUGUUUUGCAUUAUAUUGAGCUUAGUAACCCUAAAAUCAUUUUAUAGGAAAAGGUAAAUCACCGGUGGAUGGUGGUCAAAUAUUCCUCCAAAAUAUUUUUUCUGUUCAAUUUACAUCAAGUGCAUUACAUACUUAAACAAUGAGAAGAAGAAAUAGGCACCCAAAUUCGAGCUAGAGGGGACUCGAACCUGGGUGGUUAGAGUGCAUGACCACACCUCCCUCUCUAACUAGUUGAGCUAGGCUCACUUCCUAUGACUUGCUGACUCAUAAAGUCAUACUGUAAACAAAAUGAACAGUAUGUUACUCAUGCUUUUUUUGUUUGGUAUCCAACUAUUCACCAUAUCAGAUGCCAAAUCUUGAGCUUGGUAGUAUGGUAACCAUAAGCCAGGAGCCUAACUAUGAACUUUGGAUCAUUGCAUAAGGUUAAUAGAUCAUAAUUAACCGUAUGCUUCACAUAAUUGCAGGUUUGUUUUACAGCAUGGUGGCAGAGCCCUGAUUGCAGAUGAAAUGGGUCUUGGAAAGACAUUACAGGUAAAGCAUCGUCUCUGAAUCAUGAUCAUCAUUAUUUUCCAUAUUUUCUGCGUUCAUGACCUCCCUGGCCUGCACUUGAUUCCAAUUCUUACACUGCAGAUGGACCCAUCAAUCAAUAAUUAAAAGUUUGAUAGUUUUACCUUUAGCAUUUCAUGCUGAAUGGAUUCACAUGAUGGUAUUGAUUUGUGCUAUCGACUUAUGAAUCAUGAUUUUUGAGACUGAUCAUCCAUGGCAUUUAGUUUGAUGGAAGUAAAGCACGUUAGUUCUUUUAGGCACUAAUUUUUUUUUCCUAAUUUCCUAUGCAGGCAAUUGCUGUUGCUUCUUGCCUUCAUGAUGCCUGGCCAGUUCUUGUAAUCGCUCCAUCUUCCUUGCGAUUGCAGUGGGCAUCUGUAAGCUCCUCUUAUUUUUUGCACCUGGCGAUUUUUCAUUUAGCAAUAGUUUCUUUAUGGAAAAGGAAGAUCUAAACUUGAUAAUUUAUUGUUUUGAUAGAUGAUUCAGAGUUGGCUUAACAUCCCCAUGGAAGAUAUCUUGGUACAUCCUAAACUUUUUCAUUCACUAGUUCUCCAUUAGAAAGUUUUAUUCUGCUAGUGAUCUUGUUUAAUUAAAAGCACGUUCGUGAAUUCUUCUCCAGAAGCAAAUUAUCCCUAUAUUUGUUAAUAUCAUGAUGAUCAUAUUGUGAAAUACAACAUAAUGAAGAAAGAAAGAAACCAUUGAAAUUUUUUGUAAUUCCUGGCUAACCUGGAUAAAGUUCUUUUUGGAUUGUAAGCUGACAUAUCACUAUUAUCUUAUGUAUACAGGAAACUUGAUAUGGAAUAAACCACAUAGUUUGACAAGUCCUAAACAUAAAAUAUGCAAAUUUAUUUCGUUCCUUAUGCUGAGGAUAUGGAUUAUUGUCUUUUCAGGUGGUAUUGCCACAAACUGGAGGAUCACAUAAGGCUGGAUUCAGAUUGGUUUACUCAAACACUAAAGGAGAUUUUCGCUUGGAUGGGGUUUUCAAUGUGAUAUCUUACGAUGUAGUUCCCAAAAUACAAAGCACACUUCUGGAUUUGGAUUUCAAGGUAGAUUAUUUUGUCGUAUAUUUCAUUUCAUUUGAGAACUAUCUUCGGAAAGGUACGCAUAAAAAUCAGCAAUACAUGUGCCCGAUCCAUGACCUAGGCUACUGGCCCCCCUUAUACUAUUAUUGUUACUACUACUAUAGUACUAUUAGUACUACCUCUGUUUUAUUCUCUUAUCUAUGGCUUUUUGUCAGGGUUUCACCUCUAUCCUACCCAAACUUGCUUGGGACUUAAAAUUUUUUUCAUUUCAUUUGACAUCUAUCUACUCAAUACAAACACUUUUCUUAUUGAAUAUAUCCAGAGGAUUGAUUUUACACCUAAAUGAUUUCACACUUUUCUUAAAUUUGUGGUAGUAUAGGACCAUCAAACUCAUUUGAUAAAUAUGAGUAUUCAUGUAGAUUAGAGAUUGCUUGGCUGUGGAAGGAGGUUUCUUUUGUUUUGUCUCAGCACUGGAUGGAGUGAUAUUUUUGUACGUGUGUCUGAAGUAUUUUUACUAUAUUAUAAGAGUUCUGUUGCUGUCUUUGCAGGAUGGAUUAGUAUAGCUACUUAUUUAAAUUACGAAUACUUAGGAAGUUAGGGGAUCGAUUUAUCACUUGAUUGCACCGGAACAAAUAAGGUUUCAAACUAAACCUUCCAAAAAAGGAUCAAAUACUUUUCAUAGAAAAUAUCUGACCAUUUAGAGAUACAAUAAUGCAGACACCUUCCAUUUUGCAUGCAUGUACAGCUAGAACUAGUGACGCUAUUGUUUUCUGAUUCUAUUUAAUUGAAAUACAAAUAGUUAUAUGUUUAAUCUAUCUAUAACCUCUUAAAUGGUUUUCAUCCAGAUUGUUAUAGCUGAUGAAUCACAUUUUCUGAAGAAUGGCCAAGCGAAGAGAACGAUUGCUUCACUUCCUGUUCUGCAGGUUUGGUAUUUCUUAUGAGAAAAUGCUUUUUCUUUGGGAGCAUGAAUAUGAUGUCCUAAUUUGGACAAGACGCUUGCAUCACGGCCAAUUACAAUUUCGUGAUCCUCAGAUCAUUAGAGGUAAACAUCAUACUGAAGACGGUCAAAUGGGGAUGACUGGAUGGAUCAGGAUGAAUGAUAACCAGACGGGUGCUUUAGAAUUUAGGUCAAGAAAAGAUUAACUCAUUUUUGCUUUAGCAGCCAACCACCCCUCAUUUAUAGGUGUGGUUGCCUCCUAACAAAAUCUCUAUACCAAAUUUUGUCUUUAUCUCUUAUCCCUUACAAACACUUCUCUCUAGCAGACAAUCUGUUAGCUACACGAUAGACAACUAACCUGGGACCAAUACUACAGCACUGUGCAAUAUGAUUCACAUGAACAAUACAACUUUGCUCAUAACACAGACUUCACUUGAGUGGCGUUGUGUACUUGCCUAGUUCUUUCAUAGUUUGUUCUGGCAAAUAGUUCCAAACUUUCACAAAGUCCUGCAUGGUGCUAGUCUGACCGUGAUGAAUUGUUUAUAUAGUUUUAUCAGGUCUGGAGGCCGCAUUGUUUUUUAAAUACAUUAUUCUUGCUUUAGGAAACAUUGUCUUACCUGAUUAGGUGACCAGUAGGGGUUUCUACCCAAUUAAUAUACGGAUUUGCAGAACUAAUUGUGACUUACAAUCACAGAAAGCUCAAUAUGUCAUUUUGCUUAGCGGAACUCCUGCUUUGUCUCGCCCGAUUGAGCUGUUUACUCAGGUAAACGUUGUUUCCAGAUUUAGCUGCACAUGUUUAAUAAUGCUUAAAAGUAGAGUGACAACUAAUUUUUCUGCAUAUCCAGCUCCAGGCACUGUAUCCUACUGUGUACAAGAAUGUUAGCGAGUAUGGCAAUAGAUAUUGCAAGGGUGUAAGUACUAGAUUUAUCAAAUUACUUCAUUUUCUGUUGCCAACUGUGACUGAUAAGUACAUGAUUUUUCAGGGCUUUUUCGGGGUGUAUCAAGGUGCUAGCAACCAUGAGGAGCUGCAUAAUCUGAUGAAAGCAACUGUCAUGAUCCGUAGGUUGAAAAAAGAUGUCCUUUCACAGUUGCCUGUUAAACGUAGACAACAGGUAAUCUCAUGGGGGAUUUGCAUCAUCAUAAGAAAUGUUGAUUAACUUCAUUUUGUAAAUUAGAAAUAUUCCUUUUUGCUCAACUCCAAGAGUUCCAUUUAAACUGACAGUUACUCAGGUCCAUUGAUCACUAUCACAAACCUUUUAAACAGUGCCUCAUUGCCCAAUUGUUUCUGUGCCUUUUUAUGUUGGCUAUGCUUCUUGUUUCUUUGCAAUGGUUAAAACUAUAGCAUUGAGAAAAUCUGUUGAAUUUUGUUUUGAUGAUCUUACACACUGAGUCAGUAAGAUAAUCUUUUGGGGCAUAGCUUUUAUGUGAUCUUAGUUCUUAUUGUACUGGUAUUUUUCUUGAAUAUACACUACACUUAAUGAUUUCAUUUCUCGUCAAUCUUUCAGAUCUUUCUAGAUUUAAGUGAGAAAGAUGUGAAAUAUGUCCGUGCUCUGUUUCAUGAGGUAUUAUCUGUUUCUAUCCUUUCCCCGCAAAUGAUAUAUUGUAGCAUAUGAGAGCACAGAACUAGUUUGUGGUAGCGCAACCCAUCUGGAUUUCAUAUAGUGACAUUGUUUGAGCGACAUACUCCCAUACAUGAUUAUUUUUCAUUACUGAAGAGCUUUCAGAUGGUGUACUGGUUUAAUCAGUACCGAGUCAUAUGAUUUAUAUUUACUGAAAUUGCACAAUUGUCAAAAGUAAGAAUAUUUUAUUCUUCUCAUAUUAUUCUAGAAAAGUAAAAUGCUCGUUGGACUUUUUUUCUUUGCAUGUUUCUAUCAUUUAGGUGUUUUUGAAACGCUUCAUCUUCAUUUUUUUAACAUGGAAACAGAGGGAAAGUAUGCUCCCCUUGGUUUUUAUUUCGUUUCUACAUCAGUGCAAUCAUUUAAAUUACCUUUUUUAUUUGAAAUUAUUCUAAAGGAAAGUGUGAUUUUGCUAGUUGGAGACUCUGAAGAUCAAAAUCGAGUCCGCUGACUCCAAGGAGAUGAUUGACUCUCUCAAAUUUACUCAAAAGAACCUUAUCACUAAGGUAAUCUGGAAGUGCACCCCUUUAUGCUCUUAUAAAGUUCAUGGGCGUUAUUUCCUUAGCAAGUAUCCUACUUUUUUAUUUACUAUAAACCAGAACCAUGUAACUCCGCCAAAGCUGAAAUAUUAUUCUUGUCUUGGCAUGCGUUACUUUUAGUUAAAAUUACAGUUUCUGCAUUUUUUUAGGUUCUGUUGGCUUCUGGCAUGUGAAUUAGCCAAUUUGGUAAUACUGCAAUUUUAAUUCUGAAAUCUUUGGAUAGGUCAUUCGUUGAAACACUCACAUAAAGUUCAUCAUCUUUCUUUUUCGUUCUUCUAAGUGGUAAAGCUAGCACUGAAAUCAGGAGCAUAUUCUUUUCCAUAUUAUACAAUUGUAUUCAUCUUUGUUAUUUGCACUUGGCAUCAAGAUUGAUUCAUGUUAUACAUUUUUCCCCUUUCAUUUAGCUCACUGUGAUGAGUCUGUAUCUGAACUAGUCUGGAUGCAUGAUUCUGUUUCAUCCUUUUUCAGCUCUACACUGAUUCAGCCACAGCCAAAAUUCCAGCUGUGUUAGAUUUCCUGGGCACUGUAAUUGAGGUGAUUACAUGAUAUUAUGAUUCUGUAAAUUUAUUAAAUUGUCCUUUUGUUCUACCUUCAUGCUACCAUAUAUUGAGAAAACUGCCACAAACUUGCUAACUACUGCCAGUUUCAUGAUUCCAAAUGAUGAUUGUAUCUUCUUCCUGAAGCUGAUAAUCCUGUUGAUUUUUUUACCAACUAACUAGCUAUGCAUGGCACUCAUAAUUUCCCUGUGUUCCAUUUCCUUUCAUGGGGACCAUAUUUUAACAGUGUACGAUUUGAAAAAAGGAGGCAAUAUCCCUCCUUUUCAUUUUUUUACUGAGACAAACUUGAUGCAACUCUAGUUAGAGCUGAUCUUUGUUUCGUUUGUUGGCCCAUUAUUCUCAUUUGAAUUAUGGAACAAAACUUACAAGUAACGGCUAUUGCCUUACCUUCUACAUCCAGGCAGAUUGCAAGUUCUUAAUAUUUGCUCAUCAUCAAAACAUGGUUGAGGCCAUCGAACAAUAUCUCUUGGUAAGAAUCUAAUAAUGUAUUUGAUGUUACUUGUUUAUGAUGCAUCUGGACCAACUAUUUAUCACCAUAUUUCAGAAAAAGAAAGUGAAGUGUAUCAAAAUUGAUGGCCAGACGCCUGUAACUACAAGACAAACCUUAGUCACAGAUUUCCAAAAUAAGGAUGACAUCAGGGCAGCUGUGGUACGUUUUUACCCAUCUUCUGUGCUUAAUAUUCAAUUUUAGUUUUUUUCUCAAAUCCUUCUUAAUGAACAUUAAGUUUCUGGCAGAGUUGUUGAGAAUCUUUUUUCUCUAUAAAUUAGAAAACAAGAAACUGUAUAUUGAAGGUGAUAACUGGUGGCUGAUAUUUCAAGCUCCAGCAAUUAGUCACUGUAUAUUCUCUAUUUUUUUUUUUGAAAUUUGCUGCCGUUCCUGCUCAAUAAUCUAGCUGUGGCAUUGUUGGCUGGAAUUGUCAGCAAUUGUAUACUUUUAGUUUCUUUUAGGAUAACUUCUACCUUGGCAAUAGUAAAUUUGGGUCCUUAGAUAACAAGUUGUUUCUAUGAAGGUUUCAAAACAUUUUUAGUUAACUGCCACGAAAUACGUGGUAUUAUGCAAUGUUAAAAACUAUGCGGAUAAUUUUCUUUUAAUCAAAUUUCCUGUAGUGUGUUCUUGGUUAAAAUCUAAUGAGAGCCUAGAACUGUAGUUAUCCAUCAGAGCUGGAGGCUACGGGUUAACUUUGACAGCAGCAAGUACAGUAAUCUUUGCUGAGUUAUCAUGGACUCCUGGCGACAUUAUUCAAGCUGAAGAUCGUGCCCACCGGAUCGGUCAAGUGAGUAUCACACUCGUGAUUUUGUAGCCAGCAGAGCCCUUUAUUUUUUUGCUGUGAAUUUUAUGAUUUGUUGAUUUGAUGGGACUGCAUCAAUGUUUUCUGUGAUAAUUUAUCAGUAAGCAUUUUUAAACAUUUAUGGACCUUCAGUUGAUAAUUCGAAGUUCCACUCUUAUUUUCUUAACAAUUCCAGGUUUCAUCAGUCAACAUUUAUUACCUUCUCUCAAAUGACACUAUAGAUGAUCUUAUGUGGUAUGUCCUGAAACUUUGUUUUCCCUAUGUACAUGUAGUGAUUUAGGUCAUGUACUCAGUAGGUUUUUUGUUCUGGCUUUGCUUCCCAGGGACGCUGUUCAAGGCAAACUUGAAAAUCUGGGACAGGUUCUCUCCCUCCCUCCCUCCCUCCCUCCCUCCCCCUCAUAACACUAAGUUUUUUAUGACAAUGAUCGACACCAUGAGUUCGACUGAGGAAGCAAUCCUUUUGUUAUGUUCUUCAGAUGCUGGAUGGGCAGGAGAAUACGCUGGAUGUUUCCCAGAUCGACUCCAGGCCAAGCCCCUCAAAGCAGCAGAAGACGCUUGACGGCUUCCUCAAGCGGUGCAGCACCUCCACGGAGGGUCAGCCCAGCACGAAGCACCCUCGGUUCUGAGGGACCAUCGCGGAUCAAUGUGUCGCUGUGAACGCGUAGGAAUGGCUGUGCUGUAGGUUCUGUUUGGAUUACGGCUGAUGGUAGCCGUGGUUGCACCGGCAGGGUCGGUUGCAGUGCUGUUGUAUUUUGGCUCUUGGUUGGUUGUAAAUGCCAUGUGGAGUUCUUACAAAUAACUCGGGUUUGUAAAGUAGAUCAUCAAUGAUCCACAUGUUUGUUAUGCUGAUUGCAACGUGCCACCCGUUGCUUCUAUUCUAUUCGCAUCUGCUUGUGCUCUUCAAGCCCUGGCGAUUUGAUGGACCAGAUUAUUUCUUUGACUAUCAUAGACUCGUACUAUGAAAGACUUUGAACUGAAAGGUAGCACUAGCUCUAUCAUGAACAAUUUAGCACCUGAUUUGAGUGAAGUUGUGCAAGUUGGAGUUGUAUUUGUUUGAUAUGUAUUUAUAAUUUUUUAAAAUGGGAAGAUUUGUAUAAAGUUAUAGAGGAGAAUUUUUUGACUGAAAGUUGAGAGGAGAUGCUAGUGCCAUAGAUAGGCCGUACCAGAAUCACCCUUUUCUGUCAAAAUGCGAACGCUUGGCGGGCCUGUAUUAUACUGGAGAAAGGCCUACUUGUAUCCCGGGCCCGGCCCACGCAAUGAAAACCUAAGCAGCUCGAGCGCUUGUCAUUUUCCUAGCAACGGGCAGCUCACCUCGAGGCCACCUCGAGGCUGCGACGGCCGACGGCCUCGGGAGAUUUCUCCAGGAAGAGUGUUAAUGGGCCUGAAGUUUAAUGGAGGAAGGGCCUCCCAAAUCCUGGCCCACUAAAUGAAAACCUAGGCCACGGAGCUCAUCUCAACGCCGCCUUCCUACGCUUGCCAAUUUCCGCCGACCGAAUACAGCCGGCGGUGACCUCGACGCUGACACCUGUGACGGCUUGAGGGGACUUCACCCGGCGACCUACCGACGGCUGACCUCAAUCCGGCGCCCGGCGGCUUCUACUCAGGUAAACCGCUGAGGAUUUGAGGCUCGCGGUUCGAGUUUCGCGGCCUUAGCUUGUGACCCUGCGCCGCCAACGGUUCCUGAUUUAGUCACUGCACUUCGAUCUUGCAAGUCUCAAUUUCUCAAUGUUCAGUUUCGUAAGCGUCCCUGUUCUGUCCUUUGCAGUAGCGUUCCGCUCUCCUGGGUAUUGGGCUAUUGGCAGUCUCUGUUUGGUGCCGAUGAGCAAGAAGAGGAAGUCUCUGAAGCCAACCAAGUCGUUGAGAGAUGCUGAAGAAGUGUAAGCGCUUUGCCCCAUUGCCAUAUUAUUAUUUUCCUGGUUAAUGAUUUCUGAUGCUCUCUUUCGAUUCCUCACGCUGCUAUUUCACUGGUGUACUUUCGUUAUGCAGACUAACUCCAGAUUACAUUGUAGGAGACGCUCUUGACGACCUAUUGUCGAAACUUGUCAGGUAACAGCAGCUAUCACUCCUCACCCCCCCCCCCCCCCCCCCCCCCCCCCCCCCCCCCCCCGCGUCGCUUCAUUCUGAGAUUGAGAAAGGCCUAAAAUAUUUUCUUCUUCAGGAGUGUAGAGGUUGCAAAGGCUUCAAGGGGAGGUUUACCAGAAAAUAUAUGGAUGAAGGUAUGUUAUCCUUACCUGGCUUCACCAACAUUUUGCCAUCUGUUCUCCUGAGCAAGCUCAGUACAUUAUGUUUUUUUUUCUCUUGCAAUUAUGAUGUUUUGCCAUUGCAGAAACAAUUUGCUAUCGGGGUCAAUGAUGUGACAAGGGUUCUCGAGAGAAUGCCUCCCGCUGCUGCCCCUGAUUCUGCUCACAGUUCUAGUGAAGCACAAACUGUCUCAGGUCGGCGUAGAGCUCCUUUGGUGCCACUGCAGGUUAGUUUUCUUUGCAUCUAUAAGCAAUCUACCUAUGAAUUUGGACUACUGGAGUUUCUUACGUAUAUAUGUUAGGUGGAAUGAGAUGUGAUCGUAAUUGCAGCAUAUUUGGUCUAAUCCAUUAUGCGUUUUAGUGAAGACGAAGACAUCAGUGUGUUACUGCUUCCCUAGGAAAAAAAUUCCUGAACUUUGGUCACUUGAACAUAUUUUUGUUGCAUACUGUGAUGUUAUGCCUAAUAAUACAUUAUUGCAUCAAAUAUAUACCAUCUUCUGCAAAGUGCAAACAUAUUCAUUUGUAUUGUUUUACUUCUACAUCAUUAGCUUAUUCUGUUUCAGCUCUGUGGGCAACAAUUAAAUGAGUCAAUUAGGGGUAUGUGGUGAUCAUGUUCAGUCAAGAGCAAAGAAGGGCAAUUUCAAGUGCUGAAUACAUCUAUGACCACAAUUUGAUGAGGAAUUCUGAAACUGACAAAUAUGCCUGAUCUCAUAAUGCAACAUUGCAGGCUGUCCUUGUAGCUGCCGAUUGCAAUCCCAAGUGGUUAACAAAACAUAUACCAACCCUGGCAUCUACAAGGCAGGUUCCAGUAUUGUGCCUCAAGGACAACAAAGGAGGCUCGGUGAGGUUAGGUCAUGUGGUGAAUCUCAGAACAGCACUCGCCAUUGGAGUAAAGGUCAGCUUAUUUCCUUUUCUCGUUGAUUCCGAUACGCUAUAUUGUCUAGCAAGUAUUCAUGAGACCUGGGUUCAACUGUAUAUUAGGCCGGAGACAGCAUAAUCAACAAGACUAUUGACGAGUUCCUGGAGUGUAAUAAGCAAUGAACUGUAAAUUCUCUUAGAGCAGCAAAAUGAUGGACAGAAAAGUUUGAACUCCUGGGCGUGCAAGAGUUCCAGGACAUCUCAGAGAUGGGUUAACAUGGACAUGGAGUGAAGAGGUUUUAGAAGGGGAUAAAGGAUUCUACCAGAUCGUGGCAAUAUCAAUCUUCUCACACCGAUACUCGGAAACCUUCUCUGCCAAUACUCAUGGGAAUAGACCAGGUUAGUUUGUUAGGUUCGUGCAACUCUGAUUGAAUGGAGCGCAAAGGUAUUUGGGUAUUGCCCAUUGUAAUCUUAGAUAUUCGCCUAUGUUCUUCUCUGCUUGUCAACAAUCAUCGAUGUACAAAAAAUGUUGUUACCAUUGCAAGUUUAAUGUGCCAAGUUCUUGAGACGCUACAACACGCUCAUUUUGAUAAUAUAAUAGUGUAGUUUGGUGCCUUGGUGGCAUUCUUCUACAGCCGGGAACAUCUGUUUAUUUGGCACAUGAUUUAAUUAGCAAACCUAAAGUUGAACUACCCAUGAAGUACUCAAGCAAUCUGUUCGAUAGUACUUCAUCUGUUCAAGAAUAGUACAUGCCGCUUUGAACAAGACAUGGUCUUGAAUACGCAAGUUUGACCAUUCAUUUCCACAGUACGAAGCAUAGAAAUACUGGCCUUUUGUUAUCAGGCGGCCUAAUUGUUUUGAAAACUAUAUCUCGCAACAAAUAGUUUUGUAUAUACUAAUGAUAGAUUUGUAAGAUUCUAAAUUUGUGUAUCAUAUUUCUUUCGAGCAUUGUAUAGCAAGUACAACCCAUUUUACUAUAACCCGAGUGCAACUCAGGAUCUAAUGGUUGAAAUCAGCUGGGAUAAAUGGAGCUAAUACAUGCAUGGUUGUACUCAAAAGCAUUUCAUGUUUCUAGAUGCUAGGAGUAUCUAUGUGAGUGAGAUUUUAUACUUUUAUUGGAAAAUAUAAAAGGUGUCACAUGGGCACACAAAACCCAUGUGUAUGCAUACCCAGACGAGUGUACACACACAAUACAUAGUUCUACUACCGUGAUAUGCCAAUGAAAAUGCGUACAAAUAUGAAGUAAUAACCAUCCCAACAAGGCAUGUAACAUUGUCUUGUAAAAGAAAAACAAAACAAAACAAACAAGGCAGGGUAACAAUAGCACAGCACGUCAUGCAUUUCGAUCUUCAUUUUACCAACGGAUGCAUGCAUAAAGUAUGGUCUUAGACGUAGCACUCGUAGAGCUUGAUGUCCAUCUGCAGCCUGAAGUAGUACAGGCCCUGGAAGGUGUCGGUGCGCAGCGUGGCGACGCCGCGCGCCAUGAAGAAGUCGCCGGUGCCGCCGACGACGGAGAUGUCCCUCGUCUUCUCCGCCAUGAGGUCGGCGCCCAUGAGGUUGAGCGUGCCCCUGUGCGCCGUGGAGUUGAACACGAGGGAGAAGGCGAACCACGCGCUGGGCGCCUCCUUCCUGUCGUAGAAGUAGAACCCCUCCGCGCGCGCCACCGGCGCCGACGCCAGCGCCGGCGCAGCCGUCACCACGUCGUUGAACACUACGAUCUCGCCGAAGUAGGUGUCGUUGAUGGACACCGACCUGCUCAGCAGCGUCGGCUGCGUCGCCGCCGCCGCCGUCGCGUUCGCCGUGUUGGUGCCGUCGUAGAGGAUGUCGUGGUAGUAGACCGUCAUGUUCAGGCACGGCUCGCCGUCGUGGCUGGACACGAGCCGCCGCCGGCCAUGGGCGACGCCGGUCAUCAGUCCAAGAAGCAGUAAGAUGGCAGGGAUCACAGUGAUGAGCUUGCAAGUUGGCAUAAGGCCUUGCAUUAUUGUCAGUGUCAGACUCUGAGUGAAAGUGAAUAGACUGAGUGUCAGACUGUCGUCGGUGCAAGACUAGCUAGAAGACACUAUCCGUGAGAACCUAUAGCCAGCUCUCUUGUUCUUAUUUGCGUUGGUGAGUUGAGUGGUGCAUUGCGUAUUUAUAGAGCCAAAUGGUGUGGGAAUAUGCAGUAGAUCCGAGUGUUGAUGUGGAGCUGGUUUAAUUUGAUCCCGAUCGAUCGAUCUAGUGAAACGGGCGGAUGCGCCGGCAUAGUUGAAAUAAACGAGCAGCAUAUGUCUUGGUAAGAUUUCAGUGUCACGCAUGACUCCUCUUUUCCCUAUUUACUAUAGCUGGUGUAUGCUCGUAUAUACCAGCUAUCCAAUGGCAGUUACAUUAUUUUAAGUGCUCGACUGAAACAUGAAAAUGACCAUUCGAAUUUCUUCUUUGCCGUUUUCGUUGUCAAUAAGUAGGUGAGCACAGGCACAACAUUUUAUUGGGAUAGAUAGGUGCGUGAUUUUGGUUUCCCAAACUAGCAGGAUGGCCAUUUUUUUUACGGUAAUGCUAGGACUGGCUGUCCGAAGCCACCAGAAAUAUCAGACGUAGACAUGGACGCGUGGCACGUUUUCAUCCACAAACCUUGCGCUCUCUGCCAUAUCUAUUUUUUCUCUAAUGUUGCUGCUUGCUUCCACGCUUGCUAAUGUCUCCAUCUUUCUUCAUUCCCGGAUGCAUCUGCUACUCUCUUCUUGCUUGCUACCGCCGCUUGUAGCUGCUACUCCUCCUGCCUGCAUCUCCUAGAACUGGGGGCGUGCUUCUAGACGAGAGCUGGGGGCCGUGCUUCUAGAUGUCUACAGGGAUGUCUACAGGGGUGGAGAUGGAGGUGGAGGUCCCUCUCCCCCAGCUCCUCCUCCCUUUCCCCCGGUUGAGGUGGGUGGCAGACGCAGACCGAGCAGCGCGGCGCAACACAAUGAGUGAGAGGGUGGUGCGCGGAGAGUUCAUCCGUCGUGACAUGACGAGAAGAUGGUGCACGGCGAGCUCGCGAGCUCGUUUCCCUCCUAUAGAUGUGCAACACAUAGGGAGUGCUCUGGUCGGAAGUGGAGUAAGAUCUGUUGGUGUUAAUUGGAGUAAUAGGAUGGCAACGACGGCAUGACCUGGUGCGUGGAAUAUGCUGUUGCAAUAUGUUAUUUCUAGGUGUUACACUAUAUCAAUUUGUAUGUUGCAAUAGGUGAUUCUGGAUGUUUCAAACUUUUUCCUUUGAUGUUGCAAUAUGAGGAUUUUUUUUGUUGCGCUCUUUCUUGAUGUUGCAUAAGAUGCUCUCCAAUGUUUCAAUGGUCAAUUUUGCAAAGUUGUGAUCCUUUUGAAGAGAUUCAGAUCAGAUGUUAUUCGAGAUUUUCUAUUCGAGAUGUUGCAACUUGUGAUUUUUAUUGUUGCAACGUGUCUGUUUUGAAUAUUACAAGAAGCCAUCCGAGAUGUUUCAUGCAUGUAAAGGUGUUGCAAAUUUAUCUUCUGAUGAAUGUUGCGUGAAAUAUGACAAAAUGCCGCGCAGGGGAUUUUUUAUCCUAUAAAGAGAUGGAUGGCAUGCAUGAGUUCCAAAACUAUUUUUAGUGCAUGUGUUUCAUGUUGCAAGUGUUGAUUUUUGAUGUUUCCAUAGUUAUUUUUCAAUGUUGCAACGGAGCGUCCGAUAAAAAAAUUAUCGGACGUCGCAUGUCCGUUUUUUUUAUAUCAGCACAUUAACCAUUUCUAAUGGACACUUAAGUUCUUGGGUAAGUUCAUGAUAGCGCAAAAAAAAGGGCAUCAUAAAAAAAUGAAAAUUAAAACACUCUUUUCUUGGACCUGGAUAUUCUUGUUUUUGUUAGAUAAAAGCAAACCGCCGCUACAUUUAUUGUAUACACGACAUAUACAUAGUUUGCCAAAUGAGCGACUAGGUCAGCAGUUGAAAAAUUUACCAUAGAUGUCUCGUCAUUGACUAGUAAGUUGUCUACCACUGAAUAAAUAGUCAUACGGGUGAGGCACACAUAAUUAAGACGCGCCAAACCUAUUCGUCUGAUCCUUGGUGUGCAGAGUAUAAUAACCCCUCAAACUAAGUACUCCCUCCAUUCCAAAUUAUUAUUUGUUUUGCAUAUGGAAAGCUAUGUACUUAGAAAAGUAAAAAGGUAAAAUGAAUAGUAAUUUUUAGGACGGAUGGAGGAAGUACUUGACCAUUUUAUUACAACACAGCUUAUUCUCAUGUCACGGGGCAUUAUGAUUUUGUUGCAACCUCAUGCGCGUGCCCAUAUGAUUGAUAACUAUACUUGGAUCCAUUACUUUUACUUGUUGAAAUGACCACGCGAUGAUGAACACAUGCAUGGAAUACAUGUAAACUUGCUCGAUUGGUCGUCAGGGACAAGAGAAGCAUCAGAUGAGCUGAGUCACUCCGAUGUAUAGUAUUCCACCGGGUUUGGUGUGCGAUCAGCUCAACCAAUGAUGCAGAACUGAUAGUGAUCGAGCUGCAGCAGCAAUACAACUAAUGAACAAUCAACCAAUUAACCGAGCACGUAAACAGAUAUUUUGAACUGCAACAUGACGUGCUUUUAGAGAAUGUAAAACCUGUCGGUACUCUGUACAUAUCUGCGUGUCUUUAGCAAGGACCAGUUUGGUAAAGCUCCAGCUCCGUAUUCUCCUACGACUCUAGCUGAAGUCGUACCAAAUAGUUUAGUCAAAAACGGCUCCAUCCCUGGAGCACUAGAUGAGCCAGAGUUAUUUUAUAUGGAGAAGUCAGAGACAAAAAAAGUAGUUCAUCCGACUUCUUCUCAUUUUAAGAGGAGCUGGAGCCCUACCAAACUGACCUAAAUCGUGAGUGGAAAGAUGUGAACGUUCAUGCAGUAGUUUUUUUCCCCAAUUUUCCUUGUACAAACCUUUUUAAGCCAUCUGUUCUGAAACCAGCCGUCCAGCUAUAUCAUGACACUUGCUCUCUUAUGCUCACAAUAAACAAAGAGGUGGUGCAGUGAACGUGCCUCGGCUGCUGUUCCGUGCAACUACCUCUCCAACAGUUUGUAUAUGUAGGUGCAGCAGGACGAGACGAGUGAGGAGGAAGCAAAGCGAUGGUGAACGUGCACGCUAAGGCCUCCUCCAGAGGUGAGCCGGCUGCUGGCUCUUAAAAGCGUAUGGGGGCGCUUCCACGUAUCUGUACACUGUUAUCUGUACACUGCACCGCGGUUUGGUGAAAGAGUGGUUCCCGUUUAGGGCACCCGCACCGCAUUGUGCAUUUGUGUGCCAUGGAUUCAGUGCUUCAAAUGCCAAAUCAGGAACCAUGCUUCAUUUUUAUCAUUAGUUUUAGCUGCAACGUGCAAGCUUUCUUCUGUAUGACCUCCGAAACAAAUAAGUAGGUACUCUUCCUCCUGCCGCUUUUUUGGCUUCCUCUGACACAAGCAAAGCAAGGCUGGUUAUUGAUGAGCUAGUAAAGGAAUUGCUUUGGGCAUCGAUGCAACUAGACGUCUGCUUUUUUUAUCCGGGCAUGGCUGCUCUCUCUGCGCGCGUGGGGUGGUUGGAGUUGGAGGCGUCAGUUGUGUUGUGUUGUGCGCUUGCUCGAUCGCCCCUUCCAAAAAGUGCAUGAGCUAGUAAAGUCGAAGUUUAUAGUAGCAAUAAAAUUACUAAAAGCCAAUGCGUAAACUGUAAAUCCAUCAGCGGGAAGGCGAAGAAGUGAAGUGUUGAUGACAUCUCCACUGUCUCCAUAUGGUUGGAUCAUCGUAUCCUUUUGCUCCUCUCACACCGUACUGUAGCUGUAAUUGCAAGUCUAAAUGUGGACACGCUCGAUCGGUUGACAGGGACAAGAGAAGCAUCCGAGUCACAUUUGUAAUGGUAUGUAUGGACAUAAGUAUAUGGUGACGAUUGUAAAAUUUGAUGUGAGUUUUAUUCCUUAAAUUACGUCUCAUUUUACUGCUUUUCAAGUAGGGAAAAAGAUGGCAGAUGACUAAAUUAAUUACCUCACUGUCUUAGCUGAGGUCUGACGAUGGAAUUAAGGAGAUGUUAUUUAACGUCUCCCCUUUUUCUUCAAUUUUCUUUGGAUCGACGUUUGUAAGCCAUCCGUUCUGAAGACAGAAUUGAUCUGAAGAGGGAGAUGUUAUCAUGGUACUGCUUUCUUCAACCUCUCUUCUAUUCGUGACACUUCCUCUCAUGCCCAAUAAAGAAAAAAAAAGGGUGAAACGUGCCACUGCUGCUGGUCCGUGCAACGUACCUCUCCAACAGUCUGGAGGUGCAGCUAGCAGGGCGAGACCAGCGAGGACGAAGCAAAGUGAUGGUGCACGCUAAGAAAAAAAUAGUCGCUCGUCAACGUCAGCAUUGUUGCAUGCAUCGACCGGCGACUCACAAAAAUAGCUACUGCGCCGCGCUUUGAUGAAAUAGUCGUUUUCUUCACAGCUCUGGAACUUGGACGUCGUCCACUGCUUUACCUUCGGUUCGCUCGCAACUUGUAGGAGCGAGAGCGAGACGGGGUACACUUUUUCUUUCAGUAAUAAAAAUAGUAUUCGGCUUCAGCACCAUAAAGAGAGAAUUAGUCUACGUAUUAUUAUACUUUAGGGAAUUAAAUUUUAAAAUAGCAAUAAAAUUGUUAAAAAGUCAAUCUGCAAAUACAAGUUUAUCAAUGUGAAGCGAAGAAGUGAAGUGCCGAAGACAUGUUUGGAUCAUCAUCUCUCUCCCACCAUGUUGUAACUGCGUUCAAUGUUGGAAGUCGGAACCACUCCAUCCGUUCUAAAUUAUAGAUUAUCUUAAUAUUUUAAUGUUCAUAUUUUUUUAUUAUGCAUCUAUAUAUAUACUAUAUCUAUAUAUAUAUAUAUAUCAAAAUGACCUGGACGGGAGUAAUAUUACGUUUUUCCGAAUAAAACCCGUUGCCAUUUAUGAGAGAGACGAGGCACAGCGGCACACGACCAACGAGGGAGGGGCGCUGACGGGCCAAGCCUGCGAGGCAAUUGAAGCCCAGAGCCUUUCUCACCGUCAGCCUCUUCACUCCCGCGGGGGGCUGGAAGCUGGGCUGCUAUGAGCUCGCAAUUUGGCGCGGUAUUGAACAAAAUACCUGUUUUCCUCUAAAAAUAGUUAACUUUAUAAAAAUAGGCCAUCAUACAGUGGCAUGCUGCAAAGCGUGUUUCAAGCAUGAAUUUCUUGCGGUUGCCUAUUGGGCGAACAAGAAAUACAUCGCACACAUAUUAGAAUGGCUCGCAAAUUUUUCCCUUUUUUUGGAUUUACAACAGCAAGUCCGUGCUGUCCUUUUCUUAGAAGGCUUUAUUUCAACCACCAAAGUACACCAUCCAAAUAGUCAUAAAAAUUCCUAAACAAGCCAGUGAUUGGUGUACAUGAUGUCAUUUAGCACUCAACUAAACAAAACUGUAUGCCAAACGAUGGUUUUUUUUAAUAAAAGAUAUAUGUAGAGAAAGAUAGAAUUUUGUUUCCCUGAAAUUUGUCCAAAAUCACCUAGUUUUGGCCAUACACGUCGCUAACCAAGGUUAUUUUUGGAAUAUAAUGGUGCAAACUACUCUCUUUUCAUUCAUUUGUAUAUACAAGGCGUACUUUGACUGUACACAGUUGAUCUUUGCCCACAAGUUAUUUAUACCAUAUGAUCUGUCGUUUAACAGUUAUAAGAACAUAGUCAUAAGAAGCAUUCUCUGACUCUUAUAUUUAAACUCAUGCAAAUACAACCAUGUCGGCUUACAACAAUAUAAUGUGAUACACACAAUCCAAACGCCCACAGGUAUAAUAAUAAGUAAUCCAUGCAUUACAACAAGACGCGAAAUUAACAACACUUCACAACACACAACACAUGUACUGAUGUACGUGCUUGGUGAAAACAAUAUUAUUUGAUAUGCAUUCUUAGACGUCGUAGCAGUCGUAGAGCUUGAUGUCCAUCUGGAGCCUGAAGUAGUAGAGGCCCUCGUACGAGUCGGUGCGCAGCGUGGCGACGCCGCGCGCCAUGAAGAAGUCGCCGGUGCCGCCGACGACGGAGAUGUCCCUCGUCUUCUCCGCCAUGAGGUCGGCGCCCAUGAGGUUGAGGGUGCCCCUGUGCGCCGUGGAGUUGAAGACGAGGGAGAAGGCGAACCACGCGUUGGGGGACUCCUUCUUGUCGUAGAAGAAGAAGCCCUGCGCGCGCGCCACCGGCUCCGACGCCAGCGCCGGCCCCGCCGUCACCGGGUCGUCGAACACCACGAUCUCGCCGAAGAAGGUGUCGUUGAUGGACGCCGACCGGCUCAGCAGCGUCGGCUGCGUCGCGAACGCCGCCGUCGCGUUCGCCGUGUUGGUGCCGUCGAAGAGGAUGUUGUGGUAGUACACGGUCAUCUCCUUGCACGGCGGGUUCCUCUGGCGCCCACCACCGUGGGCGACGCCGGCCAGCUGCCCAAGCAGCAACAUCACAGCGAUCGAGCUGAUGACGAUGAACUUGGAAGAUGGCGCGUGGCCUUGCAUUGUUAAUCAGUGCAGGAUCGACUUGUGCUUAAUUAUUAAGCAGCUUGUUACUGUAGGACACUGCAGGAGAGGUGAGCAGCUAGCUCUUGCUGCUGCUGUGUUGCGUGGAGAGCUUGGAGUUGUGCAUGCCUGUUUAUUGAGCUGGUGUGGGGACUCCUGUCGAUGUGGAGUUGGUUUGAUUCAGGUGACGGGUAGCAAAUUAUGGAAGUAACAUCGUGGAAACAUAUGCACGGUUGGCGCCAACACAAUUUCAAUUCAUCUCUGGCACUUUGUGCAUAUAUAUGUUGGUAUGAUCUCGGUGUCAUAUAUGUGUGUCUAUUUCUUGUUUAGCUUGGUGUCAUACCAACCAUGCAUAUAAUGACGAUGAAUCAAUCAAUUUAUUUAUACAGUGUUCAGAUGAAACUGGCCAUAUAGUUUGCUAGUUAAUUUAUUUAUGAAUCAAUCAAGUUAAUAUAUAUGGAACUAGUUAAUUUUAUUUACUGCAAAUAAAGGUUGUGUGUGUGUGUGAGUGAAAAACUCCUUACUGAAAAGGCAUUUUCAGAGAAAAUAUACUGCAUCCUAAGAGGUUUCCUGUACACAGAAAGAUGGGUAGCAUUAAUUGUUACUUGCAUGCACAUAUAGAGACUUACAGGUGACAAGAAUCCAAAGCUCAUCCCCGAUAGACCCGAAUAUAUUUUGUAACUAAUCAAAUCAUCUAGAGUACAUAUGCCAGCACGCUUGCAGGAUGGCUCCAUUUCCAAUGAUUGAGCUAUAUCGGAAGAAAGAGAAACCAUUUGACAGGCAAAGGGAAACUCUGCAGAAGACUAACCCCCUGCAACAUCUAGAUACAUUGAUGCUCUUUUGCUCUCACUGAACACUCAGCCCGGUUGCUCCCUGUUACGUUGGAUAGAUAAUGAGUGAGGAGCAAGCAAAGGCGACUCCACAUUUCCAUUUUCGGGAGAAAAGUAUGACAUGCGCAUGCAGCAAUACCAAGAAGUGCUUGCUGCAUUGUUGGAAAGUCCUGGUUUCCAAUAAGACUAAGAUUAAUUUUCUAAUAUGCAAGGUUUAGUCUAAUAUGAAUUUUGAGUUUAGUAGCUUGAUCUACUGUCUUCUUUAUAGACUAGUUACCUAGAGCUUGAUGAUGCACGGUAGGUUUAGCUGCGCUCUAGUUCUUCAUUACAUCCUCAAAUGAAAAAAAAAGAAAAAAAGAUAUCGCUCAUUACCUUUACAUUCCCAAAGUUUUGCAGGCAAUCAACACUGUACAUAUAUGUAACCUUUGCUGUUGCUGUGGCGGUUGGCAAGCUUAAUUUGCUGCUCUCAGGUGAGCAUUUGCUUGCUUCGUUUGGCUUGACCACAUGAAAUAAAUGAGCCGCGUGGCUCACACUAUCGUAUAGAUUAUUAUAGCAAAGGGUCAUACCAACUGUCCAAUAACAAUCGAGAGCUCCAUUUGCCCGCAUUAUCAUACACGAUCUCGAUUAACACAUGAAAAUGACAUUUCGAUUUUUUUUGUAAGUUACAACUGGGAUCUAGAAGUACAUGAUGUUUAAUCCGGAAAGAGAGCCAAAGUAAUAAAUAUAAGUAUAUAACAUUCCACCGAGUUUGGUGUGCGACGUACGACCUCGAUCGAUCGUGCGGGGCUGAUCGGGCUCGAGCUGCCGCAGCUAAACCAAACAAUUAACGAGCAAGUUCUUGAUGAUGCUGUUAUCCUUGUCUCCUUGAUGUUCUUGAUGAUGGGCCGAGAGGGAGCAACCCAGGAAGCCGAACCCCGAAGACCUACCUUCUUCGGCCCAAAAUUGGGUCGGCAUGCUGCAUUUGUGCGGGCAGGCAGAAACCCAUGUAAUCUGAAUCUUUCCUAGCUAAUCAUUCAUUUUAUUUUCUCCAGGGUAGCUAGGCUUCUCCUAGGGUUUGGCGACUUCGGCGGCAAUCGUCGCCGACGAAGGUUCUGGUCCCUGUCCCUGCACCGCGUCUCCUACUUGUCUUUCUGCUCUGGCUGAACAAGGGGUUGACCAGCUCAGCUACCCGGCCUUGGCAGGAUAGGAGUUCUCGGAGCUCGUGGGUGUGUGCAGAUUGAUUUUCUUCCCCAGGCUCAAGUUGUUUGCGAUGGCGGCAACAGCAAGGGCCAAGCAGGGUGCUUUUAAUGUGAAUGAACUCCUCCAAAAGUUGCGUCUGAGUGACAUUGAACGGGAAGGAGUGGUUCUGGCAAAGAAGGAAAGAGGAAACUUGCUGGAGGUAAAGUGGAUGGCUGUCGCAAAGCUAUUGAUGGUGAAGCAUUUUAGCAAGCAAUCGCUAAUCUCGACCAUGCAUUCGGCCUGGAACACGGCGCGGGAGGUCACCUUCAGGCCUAUCGUGAAUAAUCUGCUCGCGGUACAGGCUUCGUGUUUGGGAGACCGGAAGCGCAUCAUGGAAGAGGGGUCGUGGCUGUUUCGCAGGUGCGUGCUGAUGCUGGAGGAAUACGACGGCUCAACAGAUACCCCUAUGGUUCUGCCGAGCAAAGUCCAGGCAUGGAUCCAAAUCCAUGGGAUAGCGCCCUUAUACCACACAGAGAGGAUUGUGAAACAAUUGGCGGCCAAGGUGGAAAAAGUGAUUGGUGUAGAGAUGAGGGUGACAACCACCGGCGACGAUGAUUUCUAUUAGGCUAGGACUAAUCUCCACUCAUCCAAGCCUCUUUCUAGAUUUGUUACCCUGUCUCCAGAGGGGUAUGAAAGUAUGCUCCUCUAGGUGAAAUAUGAGAAGGUAGCACAUUUGUGUGCACACUGCGGCAUGAUGGGCCACGGCCACCUAGAGUGUGGAAAGGGUGAGCACAAGGAGGAGGACUUGCAAUAUGGAGAGUGGAUGGUGGCGGUAGAAGAUACUUGGUGCCCUAGGACACCCUGUGUGCGGGGAAAUCCUGUACCUAAGAAGGGUGGUUCAUAGAAUGCUGGAGGUCAAUCUGAGCGUGGAUGCUCGACGGGAGGAAGACACGCUAGGCAUGGAGGAAUGCGUGCUACAGGCGUGUGGAAGGAGAAGUACAAGCAAGUUUUUGAGGGCAGUGGCUCCUGCAAGAGGAUGCCGGAGGAGGCAGACUUAUAGGAUAACACUGAAGAGCUUCAGGGUUCUGCAACCAGUCCCCUAAAGGCUGCAAUAAUGAACAUGGAUGGAGAAAAAGAGAGGAGUGCAUAGAAACAACUGGUGUUGGGGGUGCCUCCUCCUCCACCACAGUAUGUUCUGCCUAGGGAGCAGAAGCGUCUAAAGAACUUCAGACAUCUGUAAAGGAAACUAGCUCAUCCUUUGCAAAGAUGGGCAAGGAAGAGCUUUUUACAAACAACAGGGCGGGCUCCAGUGAGGAGCAUCGCCAGUCCCAAUGAGUUGCCUCAGUUGGAAUUGUCGCGGACUCGGCAAUGCCGCGACAAUUAAGGAACUUCGCGAGAUGGCGAAGGAUGUUGCCCCAUCGAUGGUCUGUGUUCUUGAGACUCAGGUGCACAAGAUACCGGUGGAUAGACUGAAGCAGACUCUUGGUUUUGAUAAUUCCUUUGCUGUCAGUAGUUCGGGCCGCAGUGGCGGAUUAGGUAUUUUUUGGAAUAAUAAUAUAAGUGUGACUUUGGAAGCAGACAUUGAUGCAUUAGUCCAGGAAAGGGAUGGUGACCCGUGGCACUUGACUUGUGUUUACGGGGAGGCACAAACAAAUGAGAGGCACAAGACAUGGGAUAUGUUGAAACAUAUCAAGUCAUCAUCGCGCCUCCCAUGGUUGUGUACUGAUGAUUAAAUGAUUUUAAUGAAGUGUUACAUCAAACGGAACACGUGGGCGUAAAGGAGAGAAGCCAUGCUCAAAUUGCCAGAUUCCAUGAGAUGGUGGAUGUAUGUGGCCUAAAUGACUUAGGUUAUGAAGGUCAUAGUUGGACAUAUGAAAAGAAGGUAGCUGGGGGCUCCUAUUGCCGAGUGCGCCUGGAUUGCGCUCUGGCAACCCCGAACUGGAGCGUGUGUUUCCCUUUGGUGAAGUGCAAGCAUCUAUCGGCGGCCACCUUGGAUCAUGUGCUGAUCUUGCUGAGCUGGAGGUCGGAUGAGGUGCGGCCUCGAGGAAAGAAACGAUUUAGGUAUGAAGUUAUGUGGGAAUCCCAUGCUGAGUUCUUGUAACGCCCACGAAAAUCACUAACAAAAAUCACCCGUUAAAAACCGUCUUUAAAAUCUUUUACCGCUGAGCUCCCGGAAAUCGGAACCCUUCCCGGCAAUUUCGCCGUCCCGGUACCCAUGCCGACCCCCACCUAUCUUUUUAUCUGUGCCCGCGAAUCUCGCCGCGUGCCGGUGUCAGACGCCGUGCGCGUGCUCCGACCGCGUGCCGCGAGUGCCGCCGGUCUCCUCCUUUUUCCUUCUCUUUUUUCUUCCCCUUUUCUCCUUUUUCUUUUUCCUUCUUCUUUCUUCCUCCUUCUCCUUUCUUCUUCCUCCCUCCUUCUCUCUCCUCCUUCUUCUUCCUGGCACCCGGACCGGCCCCAACUCAUUUACUACCCGGAGCCCCUCCCUCCUGGAGCCACGCCGCCCGGCCACCUUGGGCCCGCCGGCCACUCCGCACGGCGCCUGGCGCCCGACCCCGCCCGCGCCUGAACCCGGCCGCGCCCACGACAGGCGCGUCGCGCCGGUCCGCCCGGCCCUGCCGGCGCGCCUGGCGCCACGCCGCCUGGCCGCCUUGGCCCGCGCCCGGGGGGGGGGGGGGGGCACGUGCCGCCGCCCGGCGCCACUCCCCGGCCAGCCCGCCCGGCCCCUACCCCGCCGUACGCCGCCGCCACUCCGCCCGGCGCCUGGCGCCACGCCGCGCCCCGACCCGCACGCCACCGCCGGCGCCCUCCCCGCCGCCUAUAAAAAGCCACCCGGCCUCCCCACUCUCCACCCACCAGCACCCCCACCGCACCCACUACGAGCCGCCGCCGCCGCCGUGCGCCACCGCCGCCGCCGUGCGCCACCGCCGCCGCUGUGCACCACCGCCGCCGCCGUGAGCCCCGCCGCCGCCUUCCUUCGCCCAAAGACCGGCGCCCGGUCCACCCCUCCCCAAGGUGAGGGGCAAAACGGGGCCCCCUCCUCUUCCUCCACCACCCGCCGCCCCCGGCUCGCCGCCGGCGACGCCCGGCCGGCCGGCCGCCGGCCACUCUCUCCCUCCCUCUCUCUUCCUCUGUUUCCUGGAAGAAGAAGGAGCCAAAACUCCAAGAAUUCCGAUCUAACCCCCAAGUUUCCCCAAAUUACACAUAAGCCCCUCCACUUCCGAAAGAAAUUAGAAAUAGGUCCCUGGUUUAUUAAAAAUCAGCCCUAAACCUCCAUUUAAGCCCCUAAUCAAUGAUUAACCCGUCAUUUCAUGCGCCAAACUCCCUCCAAUUAAUCCCAAAUUUUACCACGUCACCCUCCAGAAUACUUUCGCCGAUCCAUAUCCAAAUUUCCCAAAAAUAAUCCCUCUACCUAUUUUCCGUUCGCGUUUCCUGUUCGGAGCUCACGGUUAAAAAUCGUUUUCUCUUUUAUUUAUUCGUGUGCCUGUUUGUGUGUGCCGUAGAUCGCGGAUUGCCCGAGGAGGAGCCCGAGGAAGAGUUUGACCGCGAGCCCGAGCCCGAGGACCAGUACCGCGAGCCGGAACCCCUGGAAGGCUUUGAAGACGGCAAGUCCAAUCUCACCCUUUUGAUGCAUACUUAAUACCUAGUUUUUCAAACACAACCUAUUGGCCUGUUUUUACAAAAUGCAUAUUAUUUUAUCGCAAGACAUGGUUGGAUAGCCACCCCUUGAUUAUUAUGAACAUUCCUUGUUGUCCUAUGCUUAUCUCUAAAUAUGACUCGCUCUGUUUAGUUGAUAACCGCCGCUAGAACGCUUAGGAACCUGUUACUCAAAUGCAAACAUUAUUACAAUGGUGUAUUCGGGAAAUUAAGGUGUGUAUGUGUCCAAGUAAGAAUAAUGGCUUUUGGUUCGGGAAAAGAAAUGUGUGGACGGGAUGGAUGGGUGUUCCUUGUGUGGGAUGCCCAGUUGUGGUGCUCGUACCUUGGUGGUUGGGCAAUGUUGGGAGAUAUCCAUCCGGUCGUAAUUAAGGACCGAGUUAAUGUGUCAUCUUGCCUAAUUCCACUAUCGUGCAACCACUCGACCGUUGUAUGGGCAACGGCUUAGCAUAAACCCCACUAGCUGGAUGGUUAGUCCUCAGGAGUGCUGGUGAGCAACGGGAACCCACGGAAAAGGAUUAAGAUCUUGGUGACUUGAGUCCCGGUUACGGUCUCCUGAAUGAGCCGUGGACCCCUUGGGUGUUCCGUGAGAACUAGCCAGUCUUAGCUAAGGUGGGUAAUGGCUUUGUUAGGAUCCGUACCGUCACUAAGGUGAUCGCGCUACGGUACCCUACUUGUGGGAAAAGUGUACACCCUCUGCAGAGUGAAAACCUAUCCGGGUAGCCGUGUCCACGGAAUUGGACGAAUUACGGCUUGGUCACAUAACUAGUGUUUGGGCAAGGAUGUCAUGAGUGUGUGUGUGUGUGUGUGGGAUUUCAGAAGAGUCCAGCAGUUGUGCCGUGCGCUAUGACGGACGGGGAGUCCGAUAGCGAUAAAAGUUGGAUCCUUUGUGUAGGAUCAACCCCACCCAGUAUUUCGGGUAUUAAAGGCAACUUUACAAAAAUCCUUCCGAAAACGAUCCCCUGCAUGUGUUGAAAAUUAGCUUUUCCGCAAAAUAAACCCUAGCCUAUCCUUGUUAUACUUGUGCAUAAUCUUGCUUGUAUCCCCUCCGUGGAUGGGGUUGGACUUGUUGAGUACGUUAGUACUCACCCUUGCUUCAUUGCUACAGAGGAAGACCCUGAGUUUGUCGCAGAAGACCUCGAGUAGAGGUUGUGUCCGCACCCGACGCUGCCUGUGGUGUUGCCUUGCCCAAGAUGCUGCUGCUGCCGUGUAGUCCCGAGUGCUGUCUUUUGGCAGUCGCUUGGUUAGCCGCCGUUAUCUAUUUACUGUUUAUCGCUGCGUGGCUUUCACGCCCACUCCCUCGGGAGUUGUAUGGUAACUGAAUUAUCUGUCGAAUAAAUGUGUUAUCAGCCUCCUGGGACUGAUAUUUGUAUCACAUUUAGUCUCUACUUAUGUGGGGACGCUUCAGUUCUCUAACUUUCUGCUUGAGUCAUAGCAGAAGAAGAAUGAGGCAACGACCCUGUGGGAAUUACAGAGCAAACUAAAGAAAGUUCCUAGUCACCUUGUGAGGUGGGAUAGGAAUACAUUUGAGCAUGUACGUGGGGAGUUGCGCAAGCUGAAACAAGAGCUAGAGCGGCUACAGUCUGACCCACAGAGGAUGGGUCCAACUCAUGUGGAGCUUAAGAUCAAGGAGAAAAUUUUGGAACUAAACCAUAGAGAAGAAAUAAUAUGGAGGCAACGUUCCAGAAUUAUGUGGCUUUCUGCAGGUGACAGAAAUGUUAGGUUUUUUCAUAUCCGAGCUAGUAGAAGGAGGAGGAGAAAUAGGAUCGCAAGGUUGAAAAACCCGGAUGGACAGGUGACAGAAAAUAUCUAGGAGAUGAGCGAUCUAGCAACUAGCUUCUACAAGAAGUUGUAUGCUUUUGAGGGGACUAAUAACAUGGAGGUAGUGUUGAGUAUAGUCCUAAUGAAGGUUACUGCAGCAAUAAACAACAGCUUACUUGCAGCCUUUUCAGAGAAGGAAGUCAAAGAAGCUUUGUUUCAGAUGUUUUUGUUAAAGUUCCCGGGGCUUUACGGUUUUCCAGCACACUUCUUCCAGUGGUAUUGGGACUUAUGUGGAACUGAAGUUACCUUAAUAGUGUUGAGAAUUUUAAGAGGGGAGGAGAACACUACAUCAAUAAGCGAUACUUUUAUUGUUCUAAUCCCCAAGGUGGCAGAUUCAGAGGAGUUGGGCCAGUUUAGGCCUAUAAGCCUUUGUAACGUUCUGUAUAAGAUCGCCUCGAAAGUUGUUCCAAACAUGUUGAAGCAAAUGUUGCCUGAGGUUAUAUCAGAAGAGCAGUUUGCAUUUGUACCUGGGCGUCUUAUUACAGACAACAUAAUCUCGACAUAUGAAUGUCUGCAUUUUAUGAAGUGGAGAAGACCUCGUGAAUCGAGAUGUUGUGCUCUGAAGUUGGACAUUUUAUGACCGAGUUGAGUGGGACUAUCUGCGAGCGAUCAUGCUUUGAUUGGGCUUCCACCAAUGUUGGGUUGAGAUAGUGAUGCGCCUGGUAACUACUAUCUCUUUUUCACUUCUUUUUAACAGUGAUAAACUUGACAAUUUUAAACCGUCGAGGGGUAUCCGACAAGAAGAUCCUAUCUCUCCCUAUCUGUUUCUAUUGGCAGUAGAGGGCCUUUCAUGCCUGCAAAUAGCUAGGAAUUAGUCGUCCGUACUCAAUGGGAUUAAAGUGGCAGUGGUGUCUCACUUACUCUUUGCAGAUGACAGCCUGAUAUUUUUGAGAGCUAAUAGGGAAAGUGCAGAGGAGAUCAAGGAGGUACUCAACAUUUACUGUCAAGCUUCUGGACAGAGAAUUAGUAUGGACAAAGAAUUAGUAUGGACAAGUUCUCAAUUCAUUUUGCGAAGGGCUGCAGAUGGUCUCUUCGUGAGGUGAUCAAGGGAGUACUUGAUAUACAUAAUGAAUCUCUGAGUGAAAAAUACCUGGGUAUGCCGACAGACGUGGAUGUUUCCAUUAAUGGGGCUUUCAAAUACAUUAAAGAUCGUGUGUGGAAAAAGAUCAAGGGUUGGCUGGAGCAGUGUUUGUCAUCGGGUGGCAAAGAGGUACUGAUUAAAUCAGUUGCGCAGGCUAUACCUACCUAUUCGAUUUGCUGCUUUAAGCUCCCUAGAGGUUUAUGCCAUCACAUCAAUAAUUUAUUGAGGAACUUCUGGUGGGGUAGCAAGGAUGGAAAAAGGAAAAUGUGUUGGGUCGCUUAGGAUGAGAUGAUCAAACCAAAGUGCAUGGGCGGCCUGGGCUUCAGGGAUAUUGAGCUGUUUAAUCUUGCAUUAUUGGCGAAACAGGCAUGGCACAUCCUCAUGGAUGAGAGCUCGUUAAGUGCCUCAAUUUUAAAAGCAGUUUACUUUCUAAAUGUGGAUUUAUUAUAUGCUAAUCUGGGGUCCCUCUCAGAUAUGGCAAUCCAUACUUGAUGGCAGGGAAGUUCUGGAGCGGGGAUUAAUUAGGAGGAUUGGAACUGGAGAAUCAACACAUAUAUGGAAUAUGAAUUGGAUUCCGGGAGCGAAUUAUCUUCACCCCAUCAGGAUGGACUUGACAGAUCCUCCGCAAAUGGUUAGCGGGUUGAUAGAUCACACGACAACCUCAUGGGAUGUCCAAAAGCUUCAUGCUGUUUUCUAUCCGUCUGAUGUUGAGGCGAUUCUGAAUAUACACCUUUGUACUCGGAGACAAGGGGAUUUCUGGGCAUGGCACCAUAAAAAGAGGGGUAUUUUCUUAGUUCGUUCAGCUUACAAGAUGUUGGUUGUAAAUAAAGAACGAGCUACAGCGUAUCUAGAGAAUAUUGUUGGGAGAUCAGAUUUAAGGUCUAAGGAAAAUGAAUGGAAGUCGCUAUGGCAGGUUAAGGUACCAUCAAAGAUACAUGUGUUCUUGUGGAGGCUUGCUCAUCACUCCUUGCCAUCAAGUGAUGUGCUGCACCAUAGGAACAUGGCUACUCGAAGCACCUGUUCGAUCUGUAGUAUGUCUGAUUCUUGGAAGCACUCGUUGAUAGAGUGUAAUAUGGUGAAAUGCGUGUGGGCUCUGGAACGCGAGGAAAUUACACAGCUGACGAGUGAAACUCAGGAGACUGAGUCUAGGGGAUGGUUAGCGGCUAUUAUCAGCUCGCUAAAGCAUGAGGAUCUGAUGAGGAUGGUGGUCACUCUUUGGGCCAUCUGGUAUGCUCGCAGGAAGGCGAUCCACGAGAGCUCUUUUUAGAGUUCUUUAUCCACUCAUUGUUUUGUGAACAAUUUUAUAGCUGGCCUAGAGAUGAUCAAGACGGUGUAGGCAGCGUCGGUGAGACGUACCCAAGGUGUUCCACCUCGGUGGAUCCCUCCACCACCGAGCCUUGUAAAAAUCAAUGUCGAUGCAGCCACUUCGAAGAAUUCAAGCAAGGCAGUGGCGGCUGCCAUUGCUAGGGACGUUGUAGAAAACUUUCUGGGAGCAUCUGUGCUGGUGAUUCAUGGACUCUUAGAUGCAGAGAUCGUUGAGGAUAUUGCGUGCAGGGAAGGCUUGGCAUUGUCGAGUGACCUCAUGGUUCAACACUUCAUGCUAACUUCGGACAAUGUUAAUGUGAUCAAAGGAAUCAAAGAGAAAGAAAUAGUCGCUCAUGGCCAUAUUAUCAUGGAGAUAAAGGCUACAGCAGUGCAGUUUGGGACUGCUGAUUUUAUUCAUUUUCGCUCCAAUGUGGAUGCUCACACCAUCGUAAGGAGUACGAUUUAUACUGAGUUUGGUAGGCAAGUUUGGCUAUUAAAUUCGCCUCAAGGCGUUUUUAACUCUUAUAACUAUGUUGACAAAUAAAGAGUUAUACUAAAAAAAAGCUAAUCAUUCGUUCCUCUGAUUCUUCUCUUGAUCCCAGCUACUUGCUGCUGCUAACACCUUUGCGAACGCACGAUCACCCGCUCCUCCAAUUGAAUGUUUACCGCUUGAGCAGUUGAGCUACAAGUUCCUGAGCUCUCUACUCCUUGAGUGGGCUGGGCGUGCGGCGUGCCGCUGACGCAUGGCCUCUCUCUCCUCAUCUGCGCACGAGUUAGAUCAGCAGCCCCACCGAAUUUGGAUUUUUGUUCAUCCAUGCAUACCACACCAUGCUUAAUUAUAUGAUAUUGUCUACAGAGAAAAGAUAGGAGAGCUCAGUCAGGCCCGUACAUUAGGCAGCACAACUGGAGCGAUCGAGCCGGACCUCCAAAAAUUAGGGGGCCCAACUUUUAGACUUUAACUAGAGGUUAAGAAGAUAUUGGUACGUAAUAUUCGCCCUUUAAUCAAUACUAUAACAUGAGUACCUAAUUUCAUAUUGCAGUUCUUUGUAUGCAAAAAGGUAUGUAAAUUAUCUCGAUUAUUUGUAUUUCACUACUAUAGUAUAUAUAGGCUCCCAUUUCUUGGUUUGCUCCAGGGCCUCAAAAUCUCCAGUACGGCCCUGAGCUCAGUUCACCGUCAUCACCUUUUUUCCAAAAGUGGAAUCGUUCCAAAGGAAUCUCCGUUUGCUUUCACUCUCUAUGUCCUACCUAGCUACAUUUGCAGAAAAACAGCCUUCAUCCUCAAUAAAAAUCUCAAUUGCUUUUAGACCCGAGACUAAAGAGGUUUUAGUCUCGGAUCUAAAUUUUAUAGUCCGUAGAGAAACCUUUAAUCCCGAUUGGUGCAACUGAUCCUUUAGUCCCGAUUGGUGUUACAAAUCCAGACUAAAGUUCCGAGGGCUUACUAACCGAGCCUAAAGGGUCCCCCACGAGUUACUAAAAAAGGAUUGCAUCCCCUGCUUAGUUUUAUGUGCUGUGUAGGUGAGAUGGUAAGGAACCUACAUGCGAGGCUUGAGGUCGUGGGUUCGAAUCCUACACACCGCGCAUACGCAUAUUUCGCGUGAAAAAUCGUGUGACUUGUGAAAGACCUGGGACUUAGGCCCUGUUUGGCACAGCUCCACUCCUAAACUCCAGCAACUCCAUCAAAAAAUUCAGCCAAACACUCCAACUCCAAAACUCCAUGGAGUUGCCAACUCCAUGGAGCUGUAGUGCAAAGGGAGGUGGAGUUUUGGAGCACCUCUUUUGGUGCUCCAGAAAUCUCUCUUUUGAACCUCCUCGUGGAGUUGGUGGGUAAUUACCCACCAAUACCACUCGUUAUGGAAGAAAACGUUUCGUUCUAUUCUGUUCCCGUUCUUUUUCCCCGUCCCGCGCCUCCCUCGGUCGUAUCCUCUUCCAUUCGGAUUUGGGCACCGCCGGCCGCACCCCCCGCCGCUUCCCUCUGCUCCCUGCCGCCAGCCGUACCCCCUCCCGCCCCCGCCGUCGGCCGCACCUCCCGCCGCCGGCACCGAGCGCCCUCUCCGCCGCCGGACUGAGCGCCCUCUCCGCCGGACCGAGCGCCGCGGCGUUCCCCCAGGCCGCCUCGACGACCCCCCGCGCGCCUCGACGCCCCCCGCGCCUCAACCCCUUCGAUUGAAGGUCCCCGCCGCCGGCCGCCCUAGACGUCGCCGCCGGCAGCCUUUGUCCGCCGCCGAAGCCCGCCGCCAGGAGCCUUCGUCCGCCGCCGGCCGCAGCGCCCGACCGCCGGCCGGAGCGCCCCGCCGCUGAAGGCCGCCGACAGCCGCCGCGCCCCGCCGCGCCCUGCCGCCGAAGGCCGCCGCCGGCCCCAGUGCCCCGCCGCCGAAGGCCGGCCACCGGGUUGGAGGAGAUCCCCCCUGUUCAAAGGUACUUAUAUCCAAAGGCCCGCCGCCGGCCUUUGCGCCCCGCUGCUGAACCCCCCCCCCCCCCCCCGCCGGCCGCUGCGCCCCGAGGCCGCCCAUCUCGCCCCGCCGCCGGCCACAGCGCCCCACCGUCGGUUCGUCCCGCCGCCGAAGAUCCCUCGCCGCCCGUUCACAAGGUAUGGUGAUGGCGCGGACAGCGGCGGUGGCCGCGGCUCUACUCCUCAUGUUUGCUUUGAGCUUACGCGAGGCAUCAAUGCGAUGCUUGUAGACGGCCAUUAAGAUGUUGUACUAAGAAAUGCUUUUGAUCAUAUGAGAUAUUUGUGCUCAUAAGUGAGAGAUUGUCACUUCAUUUGUAAGUCUAAAAUAAAAGGAAGAAGAUGGGAUAGAAAGGAUGACAAGUGGGGUUUCAAUUGGGGGGCAACAAUGGCAAUCUACACUGAAAUUGGUCUUUUUUGGAGCUGAGAGCACCCAUCUAGCCAAACACCCCAUUUUAUUUCUGGAGUUUUGGAGUGGAGCUGGCUCCACCUGGAGUUCUGGAGUGGAGCAGCUCCACCCAGAGCUGGAGCCAUGCCAAACAGGGCCUAAAAAUCGUGUGGGGAGCCUCCUGGGACUUUAGAAUAUUUUUUUGGCGCAAAACCUUUAAUCCCAAUUAAUUAGUUCUGGAUAGAAAAAUCAGGAUAUACGAGAUUUCUUAAUCGGGACAGACGACCGUUUUUCUACAAGUGUACUCAUAUUUCCCUGCACUGCAGUAGGUAAGCGUGCAAGUAAUAACAUAACAACGGCCGCAGUACGUACGUGUCUUACGUUCAGAUCGUUCCAUGUUCAUGUGCUACUCGAGCCCUUUAUUUAUAUAUAUAUACACAACAAUGUUUAAUUGAACAGAUCGAUCGAUCGUCAUUGUAUUUGUAUACAUAGUCGGCAUGGCACCAAGCAUCUACACUAGUUAAGAAAUGUACACACAUGACACUGAAAUCAUACCAACACACAUAGAUGCACGAAGUGCCAACGAAACAGUACUGCCGCCGCGCCAACCAUGCAUUUGUCCCUCUGAAUUUUCUUCCCACCCAUCUGACAACCCCUCACGGCCUCACCUUACUGGCUAGCUGCUAGCUGAACCAAACCGAUUAACUCCACAUCAACUGUACUACCCAAUCCCACAACCAGCCCUAUAAAUAGAGGCAGGCAUGCGUAAAAACUCCGAGCCCUCAACACAGCAAAGAAUUACCAAGACUUACCUGCUCAACGUGUAGUUUAGCGUUCUAGUUUUAUAGAGAUCAGGGUUCACGUACUGAUCGAUUAACGAUGCAAGCCCUGAAGCCAUCGUCUUCCAAGCUCACCCUGAUCGUUGCUAGUGUCGUGUUUCUUCUUGGGCUGGCAGGCGUCGCCCAUGGUGGCAGGAGGCUCAUCUCCAGCCACGACGACAACAAGCCGUGCAAGAAGAUGACGGUCUACUACCACGACAUCCUCUACAACGGGAGCAACAACACGGCGAACGCGACGUCGGCGGCGGUGACGAAGCCGUCGGCGGCGCUGAGCAGGUCCAACUGGAGCAACGGCACCUUCGUCGGCAUGCUCGUGGUGUUCGACGACCUGGUGACGGAGGAGCAGGCGCUGGCGUCGGAGCCGGUGGCGCGCGCGCAGGGCUUCUACCUCUACGACAAGAAGGAGGCGUACAACGUGUGGAUCGCCUUCACCCUCGUCUUCGACUCCAAGGCGUACAAGGGCACCCUCAACCUCAUGGGUGCAGACCUCAUGGCCGAGGAGACACGGGACCUCUCUGUCGUCGGUGGCACCGGUGAUUUCUUCAUGUCGCGGGGCGUCGCCACGCUGAGCACCAAUGCCACCGAGGGUUACUUCUACUUCCGCCUCAAGAUGGACAUCAAGCUCUACGAGUGCUACGUCGCCUGAGAUCAGAUCUCACUACUCGCUCGUCUAAGAGUAUACAGAGAUGCACGGGUGUCUUCACUGAUUAAGUGCAAGCAUGUUUAGUUUUAUGUGUUAAAAUGUGGUUUUGAUUUCAUUUCUUGUUGUGAUGGAUUAGUUACACGUGUGUAUGUUUACUAGUGUUAUGUGUUGACAUCAUGCAUGUUUAGUUUUAUGUGUUAUUGGGAUGUGUGGUUUGGAUUGAUGCAAUAUGGGUGUGCUUGACUCACCAUUAUUCAAUAAAAAGGAGGAGAUGCGAAUGCUUCUUACUAUUAAUUCUGAAAUUGUGGUACACAAUAGCUUCCACUAUGCAUUCCUCGAGUCAAAUUUCAGUUAGCACCAUUCUGAACAAGAACCUCAGCUAGCACCACAUGUGUGAAAUACCCGGGUUUUGCAUUUGACGAAUGAAAUUCAGAACAAGUGUGAAAUACAUAUGUGGGAUUUCUUUUUGUUACAUUUAUUAUACUUAACAUGGUGGUUCAAACGGAAUAAAAAAACUCACAGUUCAACAAAAAAUGCAUUUCAAGUUUAAUUAAAUAACUAAUCACCCAUCCAUCCCAUACACUCAAUUUUUUUAAACGAACCGGCACGAGAGCUACCUAUUAUAUUAAAAUGGAGAAGAGGCCGACCGGAGGGUUACAACCUAGAAGAAGCUACAAAAGCUCCAAAACAAACGAACACAACUCAUAUUCUAUUUAUAAGCCUUGCUAAGUGCUUUGCACCAGCUAAAAUCCAUGAUGCCGCUUCUUCCUUGAUUCUUGUUGUGAUCCUAAACGAUAGUGCCUCCGAGCGAUCAAAAAUACGAGCGUUACGCUCUUUCCAGACCUCCCAGCAGGUAUGUACACUCAAAUUGUGCCACAUGAUUAUGCAAAUGAAUGAUUGGCUUGUUCUCCCAGUCCCACCUCAUCUCGAAGUCAUAUAAGCUAAAACCUUAUAAAAGAUUCAUAGGAUUUGAUGUACUCUCGCCUCUUUCCAUCCACGGCUCACAACACGACCCAACUACGGCUGCAUGUCAAAGUGGUAGGGUGUGAAUGAAGGUUGUGCCAUUUCCGGAUCUGGCCCUCCAAAACACUCUCAAUUUGUUUUUUUUUUUGAGAGAAACGUUCCCACAGCUUGACACAGGGGAUCGCAGGAUACGCUGGUCCACCAUGCGUAGUGGCUCUCGUUUUUUUAGAGGAGGUAUAAAAAAGUAGACAACUCGCGCAAACUUGCAAGAAAGGCAAGAUUUGCAAAAACAAGUGGAGAGAAAAGGCUAGCUAACACGCACGAGGCCCAGUACGCGCGGGCCGGAAGCCGAUCUUCCCGGCCCGUGGCUCCCGCUGUCCUUCCGCGUGGGCUGGUGGGACGGGUCCAUGCGAUGCGACCACGGGAAGUCGGGCGGUGGUGCUUGGGCUCGUCCGCAGGCAAUUUUUUUUUUUUUUUUUUGAGGGCGGCUCGUGCUUCACGCGCGCCACGAGGCCCGCGCGCGCGUACGGUUAUUGUUUUUAUAUUUACCUUAGCAACGACAUCGGCCGGAGAUCGUGCUGUGCAUGCGUGCCUGCGUCGCUGAGGAAAUUUUGAAGUCGCUGGUGAUGCCACCGCCCGCGGUCACCGCACGUGUUCUGGCCUCGCGUCGCGCCCCCGGGCCGGCCGCUGCGGGAGCAGCUACCACCAGGCACCAGCUAUAGCAAUCGCCGCUGCUGCCGUGCCCAAUCUCCGGAGAAACCGGCUGGCGGCAACGACGGCCCGGGGACGCGUCGAUCGUCGCGACGCGGUCGGUCGAUCCAUCCGUCGAUCUCCGUUCCGCUGCCGGUCCCCGCAAUCCUCCUCCAUCCAAUUAAUCCAGCCGCGCGCGGUGACCCGAUCGCCAGACAGCUUCGCCUUCGCAUCGCAUGAACCAACCACCACCACCACCACGCCGUGGGGUCGUGCUCCCGUCCCACCCCCACCGCACGCGCGCGCGCGGGUGGUGAACGCUCUCGGGAUCGAUGCCGACGGCCGGACCCCGGGACGGAUGGCGACCGGCAUGCCCGCCACCGCGACGCGAAUUAUAUAUGUCGAUCCCCGAUCCGGCCACCACUGUUAGGCCAUCACGCGGCGGCACGAGAUUUUAAUUCCGCCUUGCUCUGUUCCUGUGGUGCUGGGGAGGCAGAUUUAAAACUGGCGGUCUGGAACUUGGCCGAAGAUAGGAUCGGAGCAGCGCUAGCCGCGCACCAAUUGAAAAAGGUCGUUUGCUUUGCAGCAAAUUAAAAGGAAUGGUUACAGUACAGGCUCUUGCUACCACCACGUAACGCUAGCACCCUAGCUACCGUAUAAUCAAUCAUUGCUGUGCACGUAUGAAAUGUGGAUGUCGAAAUGUGCUGAACCCUAUCUGGUCAAGAAACCCCGCCUAGAUCGCGAACGAAUCAAAACGCAGAUGAGCAUGCAUGGUCUUUCACAUCAUCAUCAUCGUCACUACAAUGAUGAGCAAAGACGAAAACUAACACGAUGUUCUACAGCCAAUUUGCCAAGUCACAGCAAAGUGCAUGGCCCAGUGAAAGCUAAUUAACGUGCGCGCCAAACAUGUAUGUAAUCAGCAGUAGUCUUAUACUCUUAUACAAGAGAGUUGAAAAGAUCAAACGCCAGCUUUUCUUAUCCACAUCUUUACGUUAUGAAAAAAAAUGAAACAAAUAAUGGCGGAAUAACCCUCACAUCACUAUCGACCUAGUAAGCCAAAAAAACAGUCAAUAAUCAAGGGUACUCCUUCCAUUCCAAAUUGUAAGUCAUUCCAAGAAUCUUGGAGAGUCAAAGUAUCUCAAGUUUGACUAAAUUUAUAUGAUAAUAUAAUAACAUUUAUGAUGUCAACUAAGUAUCAUUAGAUUCUUUAUCAAUUAUAUUUUCAUAGUAUAUCUAUUUGAUGUCAUAAAUCUUUAUAUUUUUCUCUAUAAUUUUGGUCAAACUUAAGAUAUUUUGACUCUUGAAAAUUCUUAAAAUGACUUACAAUUUGGAACGGAAGGAGUACGCAAUAUUCUGAGUACGCAAUAUUCUGAAGCAAAGAGCGAGAUCCGACGAGAUACAACGCAAGCUGCUGGUGAAAGCAACUCAUCAAACAAAUGGGCAAUUCGCAGUCUUAUACAAUAAUAGAGUUUCGAACGAUCAUAUACCCCACCUCAUCUUCCUCUUAUCCAUAUUUUUCGCAUUUAUCUUCUUGGAGACUGACCGACCGAUCCACAUCUCUCCGGCCAUUAGCGAAACCAAAACCAACUACACGAACCAAAGGAUUUUUUUUUAAAAAAAAUGAUUUCGCCUCCCCCAAAUCAUGAAAAGAACACCAUCAUGAUCCGGACCAGUUUUCCUCAUAAAAUAAAAUGCAAGGAAAGGGGGAAAAAAGGGGGCCAAGACAAGUACUAGCACACGGACGCUAGAAUAUUAUUGAGAGGCGGGUCCCGGCCCGGUCGCCGUCGUCCCCUGCUACCGAGACACACCCCCAAUCGCCAUCGUAUAAACCCGCUUGGCUCGACGCCGCUAGCUUCCCUCCAUAUCCCAGCCAAGUCCCCUUCUUCAGACUCCACCUAACGUUACACCGGCCGGUCAGCCUCCAGUCCACCACCGCGCUCGACGUCUCGACGCUUCCACCCGCCGAGGGCCGGGCGCCGCACAGCCUCAAGUUCCCCGCGCGGGCGCGCGAGAGCGUCUUCGAGCCUCGCCCCGGCCCUUACACCCGCCGCGAGGUAGGGAGCUAGCUCCGGCGUCGACGCCCGUUCGUACGCACGGCACCGGGGCCGGGCGAGGGCGGCGCGGCACGGCGGGCGGCGGAGGAAUGCGGAUGGGGAAGUACGAGAUGGGGCGGACGCUCGGGGAGGGCCACUUCGGCAAGGUGAGGCUGGCGCGCCACGCCGAGACGGGCCGCGCCUUCGCCAUCAAGAUCCUCGACCGCCAGCGCAUCCUCGCCAUGAAGAUCGACGAGCAGGUGCGUGUCCUGUUUGGUCGAUGGCGAUCGAUUCCCUCUCAGCCCCGCUCUUUUCCUCCGAUCGAUCCUUUGCUCACCCAAGUUCUUCCGGUGCUGGGGAUGGCCGGCGCAGAUAAAGAGGGAGAUCGCCACGCUGAAGCUGCUCAAGCACCCCAACGUCGUCCGGCUCUACGAGGUCAACCACCCUCACAUCCUCCCCUCUCAAGAUUCCUGCCCGUUCUUGAAGAUUCCUGCCUGUUUCUUAGAUUAUAUUUCAUGCCGUUCUUUCCUGCUGAACUGAAUUAAAAAAAUACUGUUCUUGGAUGGGGAAGAAGAAGGGGAUGGGUAGUUUGGGCAAUUAAUUUGCGUGCGCCGCUGAUGGCAACUUGGCAAGCAAGCAGCUCUACCGUGCCGUUGAACUUGGCGAGUUGCGUGUGAACCUCGAGGCUGCGGCCAAACAUAGAAAAAUCAGGCCGCAGCCCAGUCGUCUAUACUCUUGUUUAAAUGUUUCGCCGAAAAAUAAUCAGAGAAGCUUCUUUGAAUAACAUUAUAGUCUCCAUAUGUUUAGUAAAAGUAAUGCCACUUUCAGUUUCCUUUCCUUGACUUGGACACCCACGUUAAACAAAGAAACACAUGGACGCCCUAAAGGACCUGCCGAAGUACAAAAUUUCCACCCAACUCAACCAAAAUCACCCAACCCAAUUAAGCUCCGACUGCCCAACAAAGAGGCCCCACCUGUUGCAUUCCAAGAAUGAUUUCUUUCCUUGUGGCUCUUAUUUUUAAUUUUAUUGUACUUCAUCCGGGUCUAUUUCCAGUUGGUGCAGUGCAGACUUGUUGUAUCAAUUUUUUUUCAACGAAAACUUGGCUGUACCAAUAAUUCAAGAAAAAGAUCCCGCCAUGAAAACAAACCUCCGGGAUGUCACGUCUCGGAUCCUCCAAAUCUGCUGACGGCCAUCGGGCGCUCUUGCAGACGACGAGAUCAUCAUCGUGUGCGAGGGUUGUCUGCACCCGAGGAUCACGUGAGAUCCCAGCCGUCAGACCUGAUGAUCCGAUGGCGGCUGUUCCUCCCAGCACGCCACACCGAGAUGAACGAGAUAGCGACGGAGUUUUCUUGUCCUGAGGGUUGCCUGGUUACCUGUACGAAGUCCGGAAGCCAGCUAGUGGAUAAAAUGGCUUUUCACUUGUAGAAGUGGCGUGCACGGUCCCAAUAAUUGGAUGCGCUGCGUCACCCACUCAUCCUCUCUGCAUUUCUUCAGGCAGCUUUUGGUCCUGCAAGGCAAAAGAAGGCUGCACAGCAUGAGCCCACUGUUUCACAUAUGCAUCUUGGGGCGUCAUGGUCUCACUCCCACAUCGCCAAGAAUUUCAUACAAUAACGUAUAGGUGAAGUGUUAAUCAGAGUAACAAAUGAAUGUGUUUGGUUCACUGACUGAUUUCAUUAGUGGGUGAUGUCCAUGUCAAGCUUUGCUUCCUGCUAGAGAAAUACGUAUUAGAAAACGAUGCCUGCCUGCUUUGGUAAUUGCCGGCAGACCGAUGUGGUAGUGACUCGGCCGGUAUUUUAGAUAGACAAGGCCAAAAGCUUUCUAGGCUGGGAAAAGUUGUUUUAACUUCUAGAAGUAAGACCAUUGUUAUGAUAAGGGCGAAAGGGUUAGAUAAGGGCAUCCUUUAUUGACAAGGACUACACCGAGUAAUAGUCUAUACUAAAAUUGGCACUAGAUUAAAGUAUAGAGUUCUACAAGAACAUAGCAGUAAUUCAUCCGUUUCAGAAAUGGACUGAACCUUACCUUUUCUUGUGCAGGUUUCAGCAAGCAAAACAAAAAUAUACAUGGUCCUUGAGUAUGUAAAUGGAGGAGAAUUAUUUGACAAAAUCGUAAGGAUUCGGCCCCUUAACUGUAAACUAGUCAUGAUGCAUUGUGAACCAAUGGAGCCAAUUCUUCAAUACGGUUUCUACUUUCUAAUGCAUAUCGGACUCAAUCUGUGAACUGUGAUACAUGUAGGCAUUGAAGGGUAAGCUGACAGAGAAGGAAGGGAGAAAACUAUUCCAGCAGCUAAUCGAUGCCGUAGGCUAUUGCCACGAGAAGGGGGUUUAUCAUAGGGAUCUCAAGGUAAUCACUAACCUAGCGUUUGAGACUUGAUAUUUUCUGAUACCAUGCAAUGAUGGAAAUAGUAAACAGAUUCCAUCAUUAAGACCUUUCUUCUGAACCUUUUGCAGCCAGAGAAUGUCCUUGUUGAUGCGAAAGGAAACAUAAAGGUAUCUGAUUUCGGACUAAGUGCACUUCCACAAAAUCAACGGGUACAGCAUUUUCUCUAACAUCAAAUCAAUCUCAAUCAUUUUUUCUGUGCCUAAAAUGAUGGCUCUUUUUCCAGAAAGAUGGUUUGUUGCAUACCACAUGUGGCAGCCCUAACUACAUAGCCCCUGAGGUACGACCUAAGCACUAUUUGUUUAGGGUUUAGGGACGCAUGGUUCCAUCAUUACUAUCUACUUCAGUUUUGAUUGGUGCACAUGGAAGAGGGAACACUGACAGUGGUACUUUUAGGUCCUUCUGAACAAAGGUUAUGAUGGCUCGAUGGCUGAUAUAUGGUCCUGUGGUGUUAUUCUAUAUGUAAUGCUUACAGGGAAUCUUCCAUUUGACGACCAAAAUGUGGUUGUCCUUUAUCAGAAGGUAUAGAACAAGGAAUGAAGCAUUACAGGAACAUAUUUGGCUAAUUCCAUUUGAUGCAACCAUAUCUCAGUGUGAUAUUUAUUUGUUCUUAGAUUCUGAAGGGGAAUGCUCACAUUCCAAAGUGGCUCUCACAAGGUGCCCAAGAUAUACUGCGAAAAAUUCUGGAUCCUAACCCAAUUACCCGCAUAGAUGUGGAUGGAAUAAGGGCACAUGAUUGGUUCAAGCAAGGUUAUACUCCUGCUGUGCCAUUUACUGAUGAUGAAGAUAUCAGCAUGGAUGAAGGCAGCUUAAAUGUGACUGAGGUAACCUAUGUGAGCUUUACUUAUAUUUUUAUAGUACCAUGUUUUAGGAUUUUAGCAGAGUGGUAAAGUCUGAAAUUUGUCUGUGUUUUCUGAAGCAUAAUGGCAUUCAAGACAACAUAGCAAUCAACCAAAUCAAUGCUUUCCAGCUCAUUGGGAUGUCCUCCUGCCUUGAUUUAUCUGGAUUUUUUGAGAAAGAGGUUAGCUCAACAUUUGUUUCAAUUUAAUUUUUAGCGUGUUUUAAUUUCCUUGCAUUUAGUUGGAAGGGUCCCAAUUGAGAUGGUAAUAAUGCUAAAAGAUAUAUGGAAAGAAUAACAGCCAGGAACCAGAAAUUGACAACUACGUGUCAAUAUUGAGCAUUAAUACUGUUAAGACUCUAGAGAUGUAGAUGUUUUUCAUUGUUGUUAUGACCUUCCACUAAAGUCAGGCAUGAAACUUGAAAUGCAGGAUGCUUCGGAAAGGAAAAUCAGAUUUGCAUCAAAUCAUUCCCCAGCUUAUUUAUUUGAGAAGAUUGGGAGCAUCGUCAGAAAAAUGGGUUUCCAAGUACAUAAGAGCAAUGGCAAGGUAAGUGAUCUCCUAAUGUAUCUAUGGACUUCUGGUUCUAUGUGUUCAGAAUCAGCACGUUGAGAAUCAUAUUAUCAUGUCCUGCAGCUAAAAGUGAUCCAAGAUUGCAAGGGAUCAGCAAAUUCCAGAGGGAAAGAAUCAUUAUUAAUUUCUGCGGAGGUAUUUAUAUUACAUAACAGAUUCAUAGUUUAAAAAUAAUUUAAUGCAGCUGUCUUAGAAUGGUGCCUAGUGUGUUCCUAUCAGACAUUUCUUGUUUCUUUUUUAUGAUGUUUCUACUUGACAUUCUUAUUCUAAACACUGGUAUUAUGAUUCCAGGUGUUUGAGAUCAAUGAAUCUCUUUAUGUUGUCGAGCUAAAGAAGUCAUCUGGAGACUGCUCCCUGUACAGAAAGGUAUUGCUCCCUCCCUUGACUAUCCUGUAUUUGAAAGGCUUGAAUUUGUUACUGGUCAUUUCAUUUUUAUCAAAUAUUUUAUUCAUUGUGUCUGUCAUCUUGUUUCAAUGAUGCAGUUGUGUGAGACGCUCUCAGAGGACUUGGGCAUAUGCAAAAGCCAGCAACUUUUAAAGCAAGAUUCUAUUAAACAAGAAAUAGGUAGAUAUAAUAGUAGCUUUUAACAAAAAGCCCCCUGCUAACUAAGCAGUAGACAGAAACUAACAAAAACAAUAUACUGAAUUUAAAAAACAGUAUAUUGGCCACGCACCUAUUACAAGUGUGCGUUCUUAUGCCUUUUGUCAUGAAUCUAGCCUUUAGAGGCUUAGAUCACAACAAAUUGGCAACUGACAUGUAUGGAAUUUCUCCUAAUGGAUAAUAUGAUGUAAACGAGUAAACUAUACAUAUAAGGGUUUCUGAGUUACCUGGUCCCUUUGUUUCUCUUAUAUAUUGAUACUGGAAUGUAAGAUUCUUUCCUUCUGAAGCCCCUGACUGACUUUCACGACUCAAGAAAGAGAUUAUGAUAUGCUGUUACUUCGAAUGAAGUCCUUUCAGAUGCAUGUUCAACUAAAGGAACUCUCAAGCUCUUGGAUAUAAGAUAACGGCUCCUGCACAGUGCAGUUGUUUUGGUACAAGUUUGUGGCUUCACCAGUAGUCCUUGCAUGAGCAUUGUCCUUCACUGAAAUGGUGGAAACGGUUACGGUCUCUAAUGAUUAACUUGCGAUUGUAUACCAAGGAAAUAAGCUUAAUAGCUGAAUGGCAGUCUUCACAAGCUCUGAGAUUCUUUGUUACUCGGAGAGUUGACCCUGCAGGAGAGGUUAGCAGACCAAAAGCAAUGGCCAACUUCUCACUAUGUUCAGCCAAUGCACGCUCCUUAGAUUGCUCAUCAAUGUCUUGCAAGACUAAGCCUGUCAUUGGCCUAUAUCCGGCUUGUCUUAAGCGAUCCAUCAUCUCUUCCAGCAUUUUGUAGAUCUCCUUGGACAUUGGAUGUGAUCUAUCGCCAGAAACAAACUCAUGAAUUGUGUUCUGCCACUCAAUCGAGCUUCUUCCAGGAAUUCUCUGAAUGUUCUCCCUCCUAAGCAUGGUCCUCAUCUCUGCAACACCUUCCCACGAAUUUGCUUGUGCAUAUAUGUUUGACAGUAAGACAUAGUGCCCGUCGGCAUGAGGAUCCAAUACUCGCAGUUUAGCCAUAGCUUCCUCUGCAACUUCUACAUUCUUAUAGAUGCGACAAGCCCCAAGAAGUGCCCUCCAUAUAACUGCAUCUGGCUCAAAUGGCAUGUCCCUGAUGAGUUGCCUUGCCUCCUCAAUAUGACCUGAUCGCCCCAAAAGAUCGACCAUGCAUCCAUAGUGCUCAACUUUUGGUGCUACACCAUGCACUGCACUCAUUGAGCUGAAAUACUUCUUGCCAUCACUGACGAGACCAAGAUGAGUGCAGGCUAUAAGAACUCCAAUGAAGGUAAUCUCAUUUGGUGGCAAUCCUUCUGAUACCAUCCUUGAGAACAAGCCGAGAGCAUCAUGGCCAAGCCCAUGAUUGGCCAACCCAAUGAUCAUCGAGCUCCAAGUCAGCACAUCCUUUGCUGGCAUAGAGUGGAACACUCUCAGUGAAUUCUCGAUGUCACCGCACUUGGCAUACAUGUCGAUAAGAGCAGUCCCAAGCUUGACAUCCACCUCAAUCCCGUUCCUCUCUACAAACUGAUGCAUCUCUACACCAACGGCCAGCGCCCCCAUGUCUCCACACGCGGAGAGCACGCUCACCAUGGUGAUGCAGUCUGGGGUGACACGGGCCGCACACAUUUCUCGCCACAGCUCCAGCGCCUCCUUGGACCGCCGACCUUUGGUGUAUGCUGACAUCAUCGAGCUCCAGGAGAAGGCGUCCCUGUCAUCCAUCCCGUCGAAUAUCACCCUUGCCAUGGAGACGUCUCCCUUCACCGCGUACCCGUGGAUCAUCGUGUUCCAUGAGACCAUGUCUCUGUCGCGCAUUCCGUCGAACACCUUUCUCGCCUCCACAACCUCGCCGCGCGCAACGUAUGCCGCGAGCAUGACGUUGCAGAGGAACACGUCCCUGCGCGGCGACUCGUCGAACGCGGCGCGCGCGAGGUCCGCGCGCCCGGAUUUGGCGUAGGCCUCGACGAGCGCGGUGCGCACGAAGAGGUCGGCGGCGGCGAAGCCGGACUUGAGCGCGCACGCGUGGAGGGACGCGGCGCGGAGGCUGAUGCGGAGCGUGGCCGGCACGGAUCCCGAGACCGCAGCGGUGGCCUGCAGCGCGAGUGAGAGGGAGAAGGAGUUGCCGAGGAGGCGAGGCGCCCGCGGCAGCAGCGAGCGGAGGAGGAGGAGGGCUUGCAGUGGGAGGCACGCGCGGAGGUAGCCGCGCAUCGCGGUGGUGACGAGGAACGCGUCCGGGCACGCCGACUUGACGAGGCGCGCGUGCGCGGCCAGGUGCUCCGGCCGCGGCGCCGCCACCGCUCCACCUCCACCGCCCCGCACGCGCAUCGCGCGAGAGAGCUCGCGUCGCGAGGCGUUCGAGUUUUGCAGCGGCGGGACCGCGGGAGAAGGGAAACCGCGCGGGCUUCCUGCUACUCUCAGUCAUAGGGAGGGUUCUGGCCGUCGGAUCGGCGGACGGGAGAUCUGACGGCUGAUGAGAUGCCACCGCGGCGUCCGGGGGGCAGCAAAGCUCGUGGAAUGGCUCUCGCCGCUCGAUUCGUACGCGACUCGCGAGCCUUCUCCACCGACCUGACACCUGACCAGGCAACGCCUCGCCGCCGCCGCCGGAGACGGGGCCGGCGCGGCACGAUGAGGAGCAGCGAGGCCAUGGAGCUCCUGGGCUUCCCUCCCUACUCCCGGCCGUCCCCUUCCGAGGUCCGCCCUUGAUUCCCAUCUUUCUCUGUGCUCCUCCGCGAAUGCGAUUCAGCCUGAACUGCUCCUGGUUGCGUAGUCGCUGCUCCGCCAAUUUCUGAGCUGAUUCUGGUAGAUUUUGGUCAAAGAGGGCGAAGGUUGAGGAGAUUUUGCCUGUACGCUUCCGAAUUUUUCAGUUUGUACUCUUCAUCUUUACGAUGCAGGUAAAGGCUGCGUAUAGAAGAAUGGUCAUGGAGUCUCAUCCCGAUCGUGUCCCAACGCAUCUGAAAUCUCAGGCUGAGUUAAAAUUCAAGGAGGUAAGGUAAAUUUUUAGCAAAGAGCUUAAUACCACCAUGUACGUUCGUCAAUAUUGCUUGCUAUUGUUCAUCCUGAAACUGUUUGCUUCAUUCUCAUCUGCACUUAUGAUUUGAGCAUUAUAGCAAGCAUCGCUGCCAGUUUUAUAUGCUAUUCUAGUAUCUAUAGGAUUCUUUAACUGACCAACAAGGCAUUUCUGAUCAGAGAUGGUCCAUAUUGAUAUGUCCACAUAGACAUCAGGUAUAUUGCACAAGCAAUUGUAGUGCAUUCCUAGCUUUGGUUUUUCCUCCCCUGUACUUACAAAACAUGUGUUUAUACUUCGCAGAUAUCAGAAGCAUAUUCUUGUUUGAAGGAUGGUAUGUUCUUACUCGGAUAAUCACUACUUGCUUUGAGAAAACUAGAGGCAGUAAGUUGCUUACUGUGGUAUGAUGUUCCCUGAUGAGUUGUAUCUCCUCCAUCGUUUGCAGGAAGAAGAUCAGGGAGUAGGAUGGAAGGUAAACUCGAUUGCAUUACGAAAACCAUUCACACAAUCUAUAUAGCUAAUGAGCUUUUUUUUUUCCCGACCAAACCUAAUGAGAUAUAUCAUUCACACAGUACAUGUUAUGAGGUCUGGUGUUCCAACUGGAUACGGAAGAUCAAAUAAAGCACUGGUUAAAGCACCAUUUCUACUCAUAAUGUUUGCAGCAGUUUCUUUUGGUGCCUUCAGCGCCUCAAGGUAAGACACACUUAGAAUUUUUUCCAUUUUGUUUUUCUUAGCACAUUCUUUCUUACCUAAUUGAUGAAAUCGUUUUUGGAUUUAUGAAGAGCGUAUCAACGGCAAAAGGAACUCUGUUCCUCUCAGAACCCCUUUCUACCAUAGAGGAAAACCAUUGUACUGUGUCUAUAUUCAUAGGCAAGAAGAGUAUCUUACAUUGUACAGAUGUAAACAAGUCACACACUGAAUAAAAGCAAACUUUCGUGCGUUAUGACUUUGUUGUUCCCGAGCAUGUGAAAUCAUAUGGUUUUGGCUUUCUAAUUUCGUCUGACUUUGCUGUUUCUUGUUGCUAUCUUCAAUGGUUGACCUUUCUUUUGAAAUUGCUCCAUGGGCAAGCAUUCUUUAUGUUGAACUGUUGGGUGUCAUGGCAGAUAGACAAGGUUGUACAGUUUAUUGAUCAAAGGAACUGUCAGAAUGUGCCUUCAACAAAAGCUGCUUUCAGAAUUCAGACAUACCCAUCUGUUAAGACUACGGAAGGGUUUCAACUAGUCGUUUCAGAUUAUGAUAUGCUCUGGUGCAAGAUAAGUGUAUGGGAUAUAUGAACCAAUGUAAAACCUGUUAAUUGCAUACGCUGUGUCGAAGCACAGCCACAAAAUACAGACGUGAAGCAUCUCGCAGAAACGUAGUGAUUCUAAGUUUGAGGGAGUUCUUAACAGCAGAAUCACACGCGCAACAGCAGUAACAUGUAAUGUAAAAGCAUUUAACAAAAUCAGCAACCAUUAAACUGCUAAGCAACAUGGCAACCAAAGCGCUGAGCAGAAUCAGCAACCAGCAUGAGAUUUACAACCAGCCAUAGUUUUGAGAACUGUCAGCAUUACAAGAUGCAUACCACCAUCUAAAGUGGGAAGAAGCAAAGAAAGACACCAAAAGGCGUUUAGAUUUACUCCAAACCUUCCCCCAAGAAUGGCAGACACCAAAUAGGUAACCUACUAACCUUGCAGCAAAUAGCAUGACUGUCUUGAAUGCAGUUUGUUUGCAUUUCAGAAUCCGUUGCCAUGCAGCAAAAGUAGAAAUCCAGAUAGGAUCAAUCAUCCAGAGCCACAUGGAGUCACUGAACUUCACAUGAUCCAUCCAUUCAUGUUCGUUGCUGUGAGUAUAUGUAGAAAAUGGGGCUUCAAUAAUGAUAGUUCAAGACUUCAAGGCUUCAUAGAGUAGCUUAAUUAGCAGCAGCUAUGCUCAUACUAUGGAAUAUUUCCUCGAAAUCAACUCAUAUUUUGAGGAUCCUUUUAAACCAUCUAGGUAUAAUGAGAGCAUAUAGUAACCACCAGCAUCAGGGACUGAUUUACUGCCUGAACAAAAGGCGAUAGUCCUUCAGAACUACUUUAUAGUCGAUCGCAGAAUUAUCUUACCACAGCAACUAGCACCCAUAAGAAUAACCGCAACCAGGCUAACCGCGACGGAGUUCUUUUAACAGGCCAAAUGGUGUAUUGACAGACAGACUCCCACUAAGACAUAACAAGUCUGAGAACUACUCCCUCCGUCCCAUGAAGAGUGCAAUUCUAGUUUUUCUAGGACAGAUUAGUGGUGGCGUGAAAAGGCUAAUACCCUCAUUUGUUGGCCACAUGCAGUAAGUUUUAGCAUGCAAAACAGAUCUGACCACUUAAUUAGGCAGGUAGUUAGAUCUAUUUUCUAGGAUUGCACUCUUUUGUGGGAUUUUUUUCAAAAGCUAGGAUUGCACUUUUCAUGGGAUGAAGUACUUACUAUUCCACUGCUGCUAAGAUAUGUGUAAAACUACUUAAUAUCCCGAAACCUGGCAAAAUGCAGAUAAAAGCACUGUGCCAGGAAACUUCAACAGAACUUAGCUUUUGCAGACACAGAUUUGCACCGACCACCAGAACCUCAAAGUGUUCAUUUGAUAUGAGCAGACAAAUGUACCAAUGCUAAGCAUUCCCGCUAGCAUCUGUAGUCGCAUCAGCCACUAUUAUGUUAAAGGACAAUGGCUGCCACCCUGAAGAAUUUGGCACAAACCACUUUUUUGUAUUGAUUAUGAUAUUCAGAACCUGAAGAACUUCACCAAGGGCAAGAUUCUUCAGGCAUGUUUUCUUCAACAUAGCAGCAGCUUGAUACCUACAACCAAAAAAGAAUUACAAUAGUACAACCACACUCAGCCUCAGGGAAAGUAUGAUAAAAUUCGACACAUAUUUCUGGGUAAUGGAGCCUCACCUAGACUGAGAAUUCUUUAUCGCAGAGUAACCAUGGGCAGAAGAUAUGAAAGUAUGAACAGAAUCUAGAGUUUCUUUUGGGUAUUUUGCAUUAUCAUCCAUUAUAUUGACACAUUUCCAGAGAUUUUCAUUCUUCCCAAGAAAGAAUGACAUUUUCCCUAACUUUUUCGUGACAACAACUUGAUGCUGCAUGGCAACCUGAAGAGCCUUCUUGACAUCAAAAUUUGGUAGAUUAGCAUCCCCAUAAUGUAUACAAUCUGCUAUAUUUUGUUCUGUUGGGGGAAUCUUCUCAGUCUUCAAUACUUCCAAAGCACCUAAGAUAUAUCUUACAAGACCUUGAGGGUCCAAAGAUGGUUGUGGACAUCCCAGGUUGGCUCCCCAGUGUCCAGUAUUUUGCAUGUUGCUAGGCAUGUUAGGUUGAGUUGGAGGUCUGUAACUAUGAUCACUGUAACCAGGUUGAACCAUAUGAGGGGCACCAGGAUGGUUUGGAUGGUAAUUGACAUUCAAACCUUGGUUAUUAUGAAUUCCUCUAGGGUAUUCAGAAAUAUUCAGCCGACUCAUAUCAGGAUAAUUGAUUGGUGGUCCAUGAUAAGGUGGGCCGCCUUGCCAGGAUUGCAACGGUGCAGUAGGAAUACCAUUAUACCCAGCUGGUGCUGGACAUGAGUUGCUUCUAUGUGAAAUUGAUGAUUGAAAAUUGCUAGAUCCACCAUGAGGACGAUGAUUCACUGGAUUCUGUGGUCUUGGUUGCUGAGAGGAUUGGGGUUUCUGAUGCUUUGGAUGACCAUGGCUAUUAACAUCUGAAGCACCAUUUUUAGAUGAAGACUCGGUUGACAUACCAGGCUUCUUACCAUGAUAAAAGUCAUGAGGAGCGCUCUUUUGAUGGGAAAGAGCAGAUUUUACAGGCUUUUUGGACAGGGAAAAUGGCUGAACUUUUGGUGUAUUCAGCUGAUCCACCUGUGCCCCAUCUUGCGAAUCAGAACUAGAUAAUGACGCUGAUGAUGGCGUGAGAGAUUGAUUUGGUUGGCUAGCAAUGCUUCCUUUAGAACUAUCAGGUACUCCAUCAACUGAGUUUUCCUCAGUCCUUGUUGGUUUAGAUACAUUGUCUGACUGGUUUUUCCGAGGUUGCCUAACUUUAUAUUGUUUAUCUCCCUUUCCGUUACCACCUUUUUGCUGAUCAAAUGGAAUGUUAUUCAGCACUUGAGUACUGUUGUGUGGAGUUGCAUCUGAAGAAUCUGAAAGCAUGUUCUUCAACGCAUCCGAAUGAUCCAUGCUGCCAUUUGCUAUGCUACUUAUGUAUGGCGACUCUGCCAAUGGUGGUUCCCCAGCCACAAGGCUUUUCCAUAGCCAAACAUGUUUUGCUGCAGCUGUAAGUGCUUGAGACACAUUUGGAGGUUGUGCUAGUAGAAUAUUAUACCGUCUCUGUACUAGCUUAUGAAGUGCAUUUGAGAAGUCCCGGUCACCAGAUAUUAGCAAAUAAUUUGCUGGUGGAGGGUUGUCAAUAGCCCAGAUUAACAUGUCAACUAAGAUCUUUUUAUCACUUGCAUCUUUAAUGCCUGUCAUUUGUUACAAGAAAACAAACAAUAAUAAUAAUUAGACAACAUUUAGACAUCGCAUAGAUGAACAGAGAAUUGUUGGACAUUCAGUGCAAAUGCAUGAGUUUUAGAAAAAUUGCUUGAGUGUGCCAAGAUUAUUGUAUGCAAGCUAUGUUAAAAUUAAACUUGGAAACAGAUGACAGUAAUUGGUAGUUGUGCCAAGUCUGCUGGCCAAUCGCUGUAAGGAUAUCCUAGUUUAGUGCAGUCAACCAAACAUCGGCAAAUAUUACAGAUAGAAAUGCUAAUUAAACAGUACUUUUCAUUACUCAUUCACAGGGGCGGAUCCAACGUGGGGGCUGGAGCCCCCCCUACUCCCAUGGAGCCCCCCAAAGCCCCCUCCCCCCCCCCCCCCCCCUACAAAUUUUAGACAUAGAUGAAGAGGAGGAAGGAGAAAAGGAGGAGGAGGAAGAAGGGAAAGAGAGGAUGGAGGAAGAAGAAGAGAAAAUUGAGCCCCCCUGUUGUGUGAUCCUGGAUCCGCCCCUGCUCAUUCAUAAAGAAAGUAGCUUUUACAAUAGAUAUAAGACUAGCACGCAUGCUUGUAAUUGUAAUAAAAAUUAGUUCAGAUACUAUACUAGUCCUAAGAAAAAACAGGAUAAUAAAAAAAUAUACCAUGGGAACAAUCAACCUAUUAAAUACACUAAAUCAAAGGAAAAUACAUGAUAAUUAGAAAAUUCAAAACAUAGUGUGUAAAUAUAAUCAAUAGUCUGGUCAACAAACAAAAGCAAACAAACACAGCAGACUCCACAAUCCCACCAGCUAUCACUUCGAGAGAAACCACAUUUCUAAAAUUCCACGAACAAACCAAAAGGUCAAACAUCGUAAACCCUAAAUCAAUCACUUUCCCAACCCACACCCGGCAACCCCACCAAUGCCAGCAUAAUCCACAAGCCAAAAAAAGUAAAAACCAUCAGAUGAACACAUCUCCGAUAAGGAAACUUCCAAACCCUAAGCUUCCACAGUUAUCCCCAAGUAUCACAACAGAUCCAUCGAACAGACGCAAACGAAAGCGUUGAAAGUGACUAGUGCAGCAACCCGGCUAUUCAGUUCAGAGGCAAUCGGAACGGCUCAAUCCGCAUGCAUUGGCCAGGGUUCAGCGGAUCAACUCGCGACGAGCCAUUAGGGAACAAUUGGGGGUGGUUGCCUGGUUGGGGAGUACGGGGCAGCGGGGUAAUCCGUACCUGCGGGGACGUGGUUGAGGGCGAUGCCGGUGCUGGAGAGGGCGUGCUGGACGGGGUUGGGGACGCAGUUGGUGUCUCCGUAGGCGGAGAUGGUGAUGGGGCCGGUGUAGCCGGCGGCUGUGAGGGCGGAACUCAUGUUCUGGGCGAUGAGGUGGGCAUCGCAGUUGCGGGGGACUUGGCAGUUCUCGAUGUCCCACCACACCGAGGUCUUCACCGUUGCGUACUCCCCCAUAGUCGCCGCCGCCGCCCGCCCCGGUUUCGCCGGCGAGUACGGGGGGGUUGGGGGUUUUUUAUGGUUUGCGACGGCGGCGGCGUCGAGGUGGCCUUGAAGGAAGGUACUGUUUUUCUGUUUAAAAAAAGUGUUGCAAUUUUGCUGCCAAGUGGAGAGCUUAUAAUAAGGGGGCAGGUUGGUUUCCUUGUUUUUACAUCCCGUAUUAAAAAAAAUUAAGCUUUGUGAUACUAUUCCUCUAAUGAACUUCCUUUCUCUAAUGGCACAAAAUGGAUUCCAUUACGGAAGAUUUUGUAUAAAUAAGGUCACUUGCGACAUAGAGUUCUCCUAACAUAGAACCACAGAGUCCAAUCCAAAGGAUCAAAAGAAUCCUGAACCUAAAUCUUGUGGAUAGUUCUCUAAAGUUUCAUUAACAUUUGUAUAGUUCCAUUAUAGCUAGAUAAUUUUGAGUCUUUGCAAACGAGCACAGUAAAUCGAGCUUUUUAUAUUUUUAUAUUUUGGUUAAGAAUCAUAUAAAUAUGUCAUAUGUAAACAAAGCUCUUCUUUGAAUGAACCCAAUACCUAAGUGUUUCUAUAGGAAAUAUAAGAUAUAUAAAACUAGUAUAGUUUCUAUUUACUCCGGAAAUGUUUAAUCUAAAAGAAGCUACAUAAUUUUAGUUAACAAUAAUUCAUGGGGACAAUACUACAGCACAUAAUGAUGUGACGUUCACACUAGACAAGUAGAUAUCAUCCUCAACUCGUCUCAUGUUAGAUGGAUAUAUUCGUUCCUUCUUCGUACCGCUCUUGCUACGAUUUUAAUGCAAAAUUUGUAUUUCUAAGUUUCCCAAAAAAAUGAAAAAAAAUCUUAAGAGGACCUAUAUCCACUUAUAGAUAUGUAGAUAAAAAUAUUAAUAAGAACCUUCUCAAAAUGUCAUGCAAUUUAAUAUAGUUCAAGUCAUGCUGAAAAAAGUUAGUAUCCUAUGACAGUCGAUGGUUAUUCAAGUGUAACCAGUAAAAAGAAAAUAUUCUAGUAACAUAUUCAGAUCAGUUAAAUAAUACAUUCUACCGUCGAAAAGUGGUGCGAAAAUAUUCCUUCAACUACUUGGAAAAAAUGUUAGCCUAUGAACAUCUAAACAUCUUACUCUUAUAGGCAAACCAUCUUACUUUUUCGGUCGAUGGAAGAUGUCAAGUUACAUUUAUGGGUUUUACAAGCGGAUGACCUUUCAUUAAUGGAGGGUACAUACCAUAAACCACCUAAAAGCAAAGCAAAGCAAAUAAAACUACAACAUACUGGCAUAAGAACAAGUUGCACCACCGGAGGACAAGCAAAAGCAAAACAAAGCCAAUGCCGCCGCGUCAAAAGGCAAAAACCAGAAAGCUAAAAUCCACAAGGGUUACGCCGAACCGACUGCGGCAGAGCGGAAAGCUGCUCGCUGGUUUCGGUUUGCUUCUCUCGUGGGGCUGCCGGAGCUCUUCCCCGUCCGCUUUACACGGCUGCUGGCACUGUGCCUUCGAUCUUCUGCAGCAGGCGAGGGGGAGCCUCGGCAUGCGAGCCGCAACCGUGCGUCAUUUUUGUAUCUUCUCAUCCUCUGCAGCUGCGAACCUGCAAAUCUCACACGGAGGGGAACAGAAGGUUCUGUUCAGAGCUAGCACGUGCACGUCACGUGCCUGGGGGCCCACUGCUCAGUGACUUGCAGAACUCAUAAAAUUUUGUAGAGGAUUGGGGAUUUGGGAUCUGUAGUUGUAAUGUAAUCUGUGUCCCUUUCCCGUAAUAACUGCACGAGCAGAGCUUAAAGGCUCCACCAACACUGACAGGAUGACGCUCCGUUUCAAACUUUUUAGUCUUCUUAAUUUAACAGGCAGUAGUCGAGUUCAGAUAGAUGUUUAAUCAUCGUGCGAGGAUUUUCUCAGCGACCAAAUAUGCUGCUGGUGCUGGUAGAGGUUCCAGGCGUGAGGCGGUGACACUGCAUUUGCUUUCGUUCUCUGUGAAGCCGAACUUUAUUCCUUCAGGCAAUCAGGCACGGGAGUGAUUACAUCGCACAGAGCAGGGGCAGCAGACCAGAGAGGCAGAGAGCUUCAUCACGCGAAUGGCAGAUCACUCAAGUUGGUUGAGAAAUCCCUGUAUGCAGCAGGGCGGUGCUUCUCCAUCACGGGAACUUGAGCUGGGCUCAAUGCGAAGACUGCAACACUGAAUCACUGAUCCCACAAUUCAUCAGACCAGAGCUUAGAGGUACCACAGCUUGUAGUUGUAGAGACCACCCAGUCUUCAUUGCUUUUUUUUUAUAAAGGGUCUUCAUUGUUUGUUGAUGAAACUAUACCACUUCAAAGACUGCACAGUGCUGAAUUCAGACUCUGUACAACAAGGUGCAGUUGAUGAAAUAGCUGCUACUCAGAGUGAACUGCACUUUGCGAUCAGCAUCAACGCUCCAAGGGCCCAUUUAUAAUGCUAAUUUCUGGGAGGCCACUGCUAACAAUGCUGAUGGACUAUUUUUUCUGAAACCCGGCAGAGGGAUCAUACUAAUAACAGAAGUAUGAGUGCCUCUGCUCCCAAUGCAGCAGAGCUGAACGAUGGAAUCGAGGGGACUAGAAGAUAGCAACCAGCUAUAGCUAUAGGUGGCUGGCCCGUCAGGACAAUAUUUGCAGACCAGCACCGGAUUGUAUUACAAGAAGAAGAGCAUCCUAAUUACAGGAAGAUCAGGACAUCAAAUCGAGUCGUCAAGGCAAGGGCUCCUCUGAAUCUCCCAGCCGUGACAAAUGGAGGUAAGCAUCAGUACCUACAACAACGAAACAAUACUGCUGUAGCACAUGAACUGCGGAUAAACAUGGUUAAUUCGUGCUGACUGAAUAUGAGUCGACCAAGUGGAGUAUGACCAUACCAUAUCCUUCCAUAGAGAUGAUUUGCAAGUCGCCACCAAAGUACUGAGCAUAAAGGCGGCUGAUUGGGAGCCCGAAACCAUAUCCGGCCAUAGUUGCUCCUUCAUUAGGUCCAUCUAGAUCAGGUGGAUUCUUUGCAGUGGUAUAGAGAUAUGUGAAAAUUUUUGGGAGGCCACUUCUCGCUAUCCCACCACCUUCAUCACUAACCUGCAUUAGCAAAGCGUUCAAGCUUAAACAUCACAUUGUGAACAUCAUAUUUAGUUUUCCAUAUGCAGAAAUACGUAUUGCCUUGGUCCACAAACAAGUUUAGAAAAAAAAAUAGCUGUCACAUAAAAGAGAAUUAUAUCUAGCACUUGACUUUGUAUAAGUUACAAUUAAGUUGAUUGGUAUAUUAUUGCACUUUGCAUUAAAUUUCAGCGAAAUGCCAGUGGAAGUUCCAUCAAUUUUAGAUAAGUUUACAGGUUUCUAUAAAGUUGCUAAAUAUAGUAUUGCAAUGAAAAAUAUCCUGAAAUUUACUAAUUUUCCAGACUAGCUUUCAUCAGUAAAUAGCUGUACCAACAGUUCAUGCAUGAUAGGUGAUGUCAGACUACUACCUUGAUAGUAACAUCCUCUUCUCCAUCAGCAACUAUAAUUCUAACUGGGGGAACAUCUUUAUCAGAAUUCAUAUAUCGUUCUUGCACUGCACGAAGGGAGUUCUUCACCAAUUCAAAUAACAUCAGAUGUAGGUGUAAUGCCACAUAUCUGUAUUCAGUGAAGUCAAAGAGUAAGCUAGCAUUUCAUUUUUGUAUAUUUAUUUUCAAUAAAAAUGAACACAGCCAAACUAUGUGAGCUAUAAGAGGCAUCCAAAUUGAAUAUAAAACAUAUUUUAGGACAACACAACCACAAACAAUAUCCUCACUAAAGAUCAAGCCGUCAAAGGUAACUCACGAGAGAUUAUAAGACUUACGGAAAUGUAAAAUUUGGAUCGCCAUAAAUGUUAAUAUCAGGAGCUGAUCCAUAUUCCCUUAAACAAAUAGCACGGGCGUCUUCGCUGGCAGCUUGAGCCACCUGUACGGGGGACAAUUUUGUAUUGAUGAGGCCUAUGACGCCAGGCUCUGGUUCAGGAUCAUGCAAAGCCACAUGCUGCCCUGAAAUUAAGCAAGCACGAAUAACUCAGGCCACGCAUCUAAUAACAACAGAGACUCGAUUCCUGUUAAUUAUUUGAUUUAGACCUACGCAUGGGGCCAAUAAUAUGCUCCAUGUUUCAAUUUAAAGUGGAACAAAUUUUACACAGUGGUGGCAAAUAUGGAUAGUGUAAUUGAUACAGUGGCACAAAUCUAAUUCUUUUCUACUAUUCUAGCUGACCCAAGAUAGAGUUUAGCAAAAAAAAAAAAACAGGCUGAAAAGUGCACUCUGCUUGAUAGAUUUACAGAGAAAUUUCGUCACUAGACUGGUUUCGGCGAAAAGGUAGUAUUCCCGUUACUACAGUAACUUCUAGACAAACUACCACGUAAUGAGAGAAGAUUUGGCAUAGCAUGUCCAAGUACUAAACUGGACAAGAACGAAUUUUCCAGUAGAUUUUACCCUUCACAAAUUAAGCUCCUGACAAAAAAAAAGUUCGAAGGUUGGCAAACCUAUCAGCAUGCGGAUGCCAAUCCUUGACAUGUAGAAUCGAUCAAGGAACUCAUGGAUCUCAUCAAAUCCAAAGGGAAUAUUCCUUGCGCGGCACAGGUGGUGCUUCAGCUGCUGCACCCCCAAAGCCAUUGUUGGAACCACAUUAUUAUGCCGCACCUUGACCAUUUUAAUCAUCUCUGUGAAAGCGAGCUCAUCGUUCCGAUUUCUCACUUCUGGGAAGUAUCUGAUGUCGCGGAACGAGUCCAAGUACCAAUCCCUCACCUUAAGAAACAAACAAUUGUUAAUAGACCAAACAUCGGUGCCACUCCCACAUCAGAAUGGUCAAUUUGGUAAGAAUAUUCAUUUGGUUAACGAAAUCUCUGUCUCUCAGUAAAAUAUACAUUCUUUGCUGACUUCAGGUAUUAUAGUAUUGACCAGGAAAGGUAAAGGAGAUGAAAAAACCCACUAGGCCAAAAAAAUAGUAAGCAAGACACCAAGCAAGGCUGCAAGAAUCUCCCAGAAUUUGCUUUUCAAAAGGAAGAAUCUCCCACAUUUAAAGAUUCCUUCUCAUCCAAAAAAACAACCUGUUGUUCCUCCAACAAAUGCAACUACAAUCUCGUAAGAACGAGGAAUCAAAGAAUAAUUUUCUAGUGGCAAAUCAAAAUGAGACAUGAGAGUGAAUGUUGUACCACGAGUGGAAUCGAAAGAAACAGACCUAAAAAAAAGAAAGAAAGAAAAGGAAGCAGCAUCUAC
rnacentral:lncRNA from 1 species